rnacentral:lncRNA from 1 species
GGGUCUUCAUCUUCGAAAAUGCUCCGUCUCGGGAACUCGACUCACCAACAAAUCCCCAUAAAUUACCAUAGUUAAUUGUAUGGGAAUCUCUGUGCACCUCUCUCGCUCCACUAGUCUCACAAUAAUUAGGGAUACUUUGUGUCGCCGCCAGAAAAUCCGGAGUCGCCUCUGGUUGUGAGAAAUAUGGUUCAUUCAAAUCAAAUGCCUCUACGCUCACUUGUGGUGGGGCACUAUCAAUGUACUUCGGUUCAAUCUCAACAAAUACUUCGAUUGCCUCAUUCCCUUCGUCCGGAUCAAUAUACAUUUGUAAAUCUUCAUCUGUUGUCAUCUCGGUAAUCAUCUCCCUCAUUCUUUCUCCAUUAUAAAUGUAAGAUUUGCAACACACUCUUAGCCCAAACUGAUUAACAUCGACAUCUAGACAUUGAUACAACUUUGACAGAAAUUGUGCAAAUGACAAGUCACGUUUAAUUCGAAAUGCUGUUUUGUGGGCAAUACUAUAUUGCACUACCCAAUCAUCGGGAAUUAUGUGACCUCCAAAGUACACGUACACUUUGACAUUAGUUUUAGCCGCCAUCAAUCUUCAAAAGAUUAAGGAGAUAAUUAACUCAUCAAUCCAGAUUAAUUAAUAAUGAGGCAUAUUAGUUAAAAAAUAAUAAUUUAACUAAGCACACACACCAAAAAAAUAAUUAGUUAAUUUAAAUUAAUUGCCCGAUGUUUUACAAAACAACACCAUUUUAGCUAUGGUUUUACAAAACAACACUAGUUCAAAAAAAUUUGCCCAUGCUUAUAAAAUAUAUAUAGUACUAAUACAUAAUAUAAAAUAAAUAAACUACUAACUAACUAACUAACUAACUACCCACAAACAUCCUAAAAAACACUAAUCACAUGUAUUUACAAUAAUUAAUUAAAAAAAUUAGACAUAAUAUAAAAUUAUAAUAAUAAUUUUUUUUUAAUUAUUUACAAUAAUAAUAGAAAAUUACCUUGUUGGGUGAAUAACACCGGCGGCAAGGACCACGGAGCACCGGCGGCGGCGAGAGGAGCACCGGCGGCGGGGCAGGCGACGGUGGCGGAGGCAGCGGCGGGCAGGCGGCGUCGGCGUCGGCACCAACGGAGAAGGUCACCGGAGGUAAUUAUAUAUGUUAUUUUGAAUUUUAAAAAUAAUUUUUUUUUUUUAAAUUUAACCGAAGUAAAAAAAAAAAAAGUAGAAAGAAGAAGAAGAGCUGGGGGAAGGGGAAGAAGAGCUGGGGGAAGAAGAAUUGGGGGAGGAGAGAGAUUAAAGACGCCGCUGACACGGGCGUCUUUAGGAGACGCCGUUGUCAGCGGCGUCUUCUGGUCAAAGGCGCAACUCCCGAGGUGGACUGAUCCGGCUGUCUUCAUUUGGACCGUCGGAUCAACUUGAAUCUGCACCGUUGCAAAAUAAUAUAUUAAAAAAUAAGAAAAUAUUAAAAUAUUAAAAUAUUAAAAUAUUAAAAUAUUAAAAUAUUAAAAUAUUAAAAUAAUAAUUUAAAACCAAGUUGAAGACGCCACCGGUGGCGGCGUCUCCUCCCGGUGCCGCCACCGGCGGUGGCGUCUCCGGCCGAUGCCGCCGUUCACGGUGGCGGCCAACACCAAUUUAAUUACUACUUAAAAAAUAACCCCAUUUUAAAAACUCCUAAACAAAACAACCCAAAAAAAAAAAUUGCCCCCUCCUAAUCCUACUCUAACUUAGGAAUCCUAAUCCUAAUAAAACAGCGGUCUUUUCGGCUUAUUUCUCACACGUGGAUUUCUUUUAUUAUUAUUUUUUUUUUUAAAAGUCUUUUGUUAAGGAACACGAUUUAAAAACAAACGCAACUACGAUUUUAAUUGAAGAACUCUGUAACGGUAUUAACAGAAUGGGGGGCGAAACGGCGUCGUUUGGGGAGAAAACGUGAGUCACUUAAAGAAACGCGUUAAGGGAAAACGCGGAGAAGGAAGUUGGAGGCCAGCUCAAUUCAGCUAAUCAGAGGACGACACAUGGCAAGGCAGUUAGAACUAAAUUUAGCUGAAUAUUGUUAGUAGUCUAUAAGUAGCAGUUUAGUUAGUGUUAAUGGUUGUCGAUUAAGUAGAGAAAUAUCUUCUCUGUAAUUCACUAUCACUUUAUGAAUAAUAUCAGAAUUGUUGGGGAAGAAGGACUUAGUUCUUAACAAUUGGCCAUCAGAGCUGAUUCUGGCACCACGAGCGACUACAAACCCUAAGGAAUGGCGAAGAACAAUACACGAGUGGAAGCGGUAGAACAACAGCUGGGGACGAUGGAAGACCAGAUGAAAUCAAUGGAGCAGCACGUGGCGAGUCUAUUCGGAGGACAACAAUCGCUACGAACGGAGUUAACGGCAGAAAUUGAGGAGAAAAUUGCAGAAGCUACUCGGAAAUCGGAGUCACAGUUUGAUGAGAUGGCCAAACGGUUCGAUGAAUUAGGGCGUAUUAUGGCAGGGAUGCGUGGUAAGGACUCGACCGGCAAUGGCGGUUCACCAGCUAACACCACUGCGACGGCGGCGCGUGGCCGUCCAGAAGCCAGCAUGCCUUACACUAUACCGAUGCACCGACAAGGGGGCGAAUCACACAAUUACGGAAGAAAUUUCAAUGCGGUUCAGAAGGUUCUUAAACUGGAUUUCCCUCGUUUCAACGGGGAUAAUCCUCGGGGAUGGAUCCGCAAAUGCCAGAAAUAUUUUUCGAUUAAUCGGAUGGCGGACCACGAACGUAUUGUUUGGGCAUCAAUGCACAUGGAAGGUAAGGCAGACCAUUGGUUUGCCGAUUACUUGGAGGGUAGAGAUCCGGUUGAUUGGCACACGUUUGUGGAAAUGGUUUUGGAAAGGUUUUGUGAGGAAGAAGAGGAGAGUUUGGUAGAGACUUUCAACAAACUGAAACAUGAACACUCAGUGGAUGCAUAUAAGGAUAAAUUUGAAGAACUCAAGGCGUUCAUGUUGCACACGAAUCGAACUCUAUCGGAGGCAUAUUUCAUUAACAGUUUCAUCAGUGGUUUGAAGGAUGAAAUCAAGAGUAUGGUAAGGCUGCUCAAACCUCAGACGUUGAAGGAGGCAAUGAGCAAGGCAAAGUUGCAAGAGAAGGCCAUAGAGCAAUUGAAUAAGAGUUUAAGGCAAAUGCAGAAGAACAAUGGGCUGGUAAACUCUACUCGUACUAAUAAAAGUAUAUAUAAUGAUUUUUCAGCAAAACAAAAUCCUCUAGUAGAAGAGAAAUCAACACAGGUGAAGAGACUCUCUACGGCAGAAUGGGAAGAGAGGAAGAAGAAGGGUCUUUGCUUCAACUGUGAUGAGAAGUUCACUUAUGGUCAUAAGUGCAAAAGACUCUUUAUGAUUCUGGGCGAAGAAUUACAAGAGGAAUCCAGUGGAAGUGAAACCAUGGGGGAGGAUAGAGAAGAGGAAUUGGAACUGUAUAAGAUUUCAGUGUAUGCUUUGGCUGGCCAAGUAUCUCCUACUACCAUCAAAUUAGUGGGAAUGGUGAAUAAACAACCUAUUUCUAUUCUUGUAGAUACUGGCAGCACCCAUACUUUUUUAGAUCCCAAUACUGCCAAGAGGUUGAAAUGCAUACUUGAGCCAACCUCUCAGUGGAAAGUUUCUGUAGCAGAUGGAAGGAAGAUCUUUAGCAAGUACAAAUGUUCACAGUUCAAAUGGACUGUAGGUCAACACCAUUUUCAGGCUGGAGUUAGACUAUUGGAGCUUGGGGGUUGUGAUUUAGUGAUUGGGGUGGAUCUUUUGAGGCAUUUAGAACCUAUUACUUUCCAUUUCUCCAAGCAAAGAAUCACUGCACACUUGAAUGGACAGCCCAUUAUCUUGCAAGGUCCUCAGCCAGCAGUGUCUAUGCAAGCCAUUUCUGGGGAAAAGAUGGAAACCUUGAUUAAGAAAGGCAAGGUUAUGAUUGAUUGUAUCUGUAUGAUAGGUGGGAUGGAUGGUGAGGAUCCAAGAGAAUCUAUUACUAAAGCACUCACUGGGGUUUUGCAAGAGUUCUCAGACAUCUUUCAAGAACCUACUGCCCUACCACCUAAUAGAGGUUGUGAACAUUCAAUCACCAUUAAACCAGAGAUGCAGCCAUUUAAGAUGCAGCCUUAUAGAUACCCUUAUAUUCAGAUGAGAGAGAUUGAGACAACGGUAGAGGAAAUGUUGAAAACUGGCAUUAUUCAGCACAGCAACAGCCCUUUCUCUUCACCUGUACUACUGGUCAAGAAAAAAAAUGGCACCUGGAGAUUCUGCAUUGAUUACAGGAAGUUGAAUUCCAUAACUGUCAAAGAUGGAUAUCCAAUCCCUAUCAUAGAUGACUUACUGGAUGAACUGCAAGGAGCUAAGAUCUUUUCUAAGAUUGAUCUUAGAGCUGGCUAUCACCAAAUCAGGGUGAGGCAAGAGGAUAUCCAUAAAACUGCCUUUGUAACAGCUUCUGGCCAUUAUGAGUUUAAAGUCAUGCCAUUUGGAUUGACUAAUGCACCUGCCACUUUUCAGUCUCUAAUGAAUGAGAUUUUUAGAGCUCAUCUGAGGGAAUUCAUACUGGUUUUUUUUGAUGAUAUAUUAGUAUAUAGCAAGGAUCUCAACACUCACAUUCAGCAUCUUCACACCACAAUGACUAUACUGAGGCAGCAUCAACUCUAUGCUAAAUCCUCCAAAUGCAGCUUUGGGCAGCAGCAAAUUGAGUAUUUGGGGCACAUUAUUACUGAUGGGGUAGGUGUUGAUCCUAGCAAGAUUAAUGGAGUUAAGGAUUGGCCUCAACCUGCCAAUGUCAAAGCUCUUAGGGGGUUUUUAGGCUUGACUGGUUACUAUAGAAAAUUUGUCAAGCACUAUGGUAUCAUUGCUAAACCCCUCACUGAUCUCUUGAGGAAGGGUCAGUUUGAGUGGAGUGAAGCAGCUACUUUGGCAUUUGAUCAGCUGAAACAAGCUAUGUCUACUACUCCUGCAUUGCAGCUCCCUAAUUUCUCUAAAGUCUUCAUUGUUGAGACAGAUGCUUGUGAUUCAGGUAUUGGAGCUGUUCUGAUGCAAGAGGGCCAUCCUUUGGCUUUUCUCAGUAAAGCCUUAGGUCCUAAAAGUUUGGGGCUUUCUGUAUAUGAGAAGGAGUUCUUGGCAAUUCUGUUAGCUGUUCAAAAGUGGAGAGAUUACCUGGUUCAUGCCACUUUUGUUAUCAGAAUUGACCAAAGGAGCCUCAAGUAUUUACUUGAGCAGAAGAUCACCACCCCUAUUCAGCAGAAAUAUUUGGCUAAGCUUCUGGGCUUUAGUUACAAAAUUGAGUACAAAAGGGGUUGUGAGAAUCAAGCAGCUGAUGGUUUAUCCAGAAGAGAUGUGGAGUGUUAUUCUCAGGGUGGGCUGGACUCUUCUCUCACCAUGCUCACUGCAGUGCAGCCUCUUUGGCUGGAAGAGGUCCAAGCCAGUUAUGAAGGAGAUGUCUUAGCUCAAGAAGUAAUAGCCAGCCAGGCUUUGAGACCCAUGGAUGUCUCUGAAUUCCAUUAUAUGGAUGGAUUAUUGAAGUGGAAAGGGCAGAAUAUAUGUGGGGUCCAGUGGCUCUUUGAGGGGACAGAUUCUGGAAUUUAUGCAUGGGUCUAGUUUGGGAGGUCAUUCUGGGGUCCAGAAUACUUUGAAGAGGGUGCAACGGGUGUUCUUGUGGCCUUUCAUGAGAAAUGAAGUGAAGCAAAUGGUGAGUAUGUGUGGCAUUUGCCAGCUGAACAAGCAUGAAACUAGUAGAAGUCCAGGGCUGCUGCAACCACUUCCUGUACCUUCUCAGGCUUGGUCCUACAUCACAAUGGAUUUUAUUGAAAAACUACCAGUAUCUAAGGGCAAAGACACUAUUUGGGUGGUGGUGGAUCGAUUUACAAAGUACAGCCAUUUCAUAAGCCUAAGUCAUCCUUUCACUGCCUCUUCUUUGGCUCAAGUUUUUAUGGAAACAGUCUAUAAACUGCAUGGACUGCCUACUUAUAUGGUGUCAGAUAGAGACAAGAUAUUCACCAGCACAUUUUGGAAGGAGUUAUUCAAAGCUUUAGGAGUGCAGCAGCAGUUGAGUACUGCAUACCACCCCCAAACUGAUGGGCAAAGUGAAAGGGUAAACCAGUGCUUGGAGAACUAUCUAAGGUGUAUGUGUGGGAAGUUUCCCAAGCAGUGGAGCUCUUGGUUGGCAUUAGCGGAGUGGUGGUACAACACUAGUCACCAUUCAGCCAUACAGAUGUCACCUUUUCAAGCACUCUAUGGAUACCAACCUCCACAAGUAGGGUUUGGCCCAUGGAUAGAAGUAAAGACUUCGGGCGUGGAUCAAUGGUUGAAGGACCAUUCUAAACUCACUCACCAUCUCAAGGAAUUAUUGCAAGCGGCAAGAGAAAGAAGGAAGGUCCAUGCUGACAAGCAUAGGGGAGAAAGGAAGUUUGAGGUAGGAGAUUGGGUCUAUCUCAAGCUUAAGCUCUACAAACAGUUGAGUCUCAAAAGAAGUCCUAUAUGGAAGAUGAUGCCGAAGUAUUGCGGGCCGUUUGAAGUGAUUAGCCGAAUAGGGGAGGUGGCUUAUGAGUUAAAAUUGCCCUCAGCGGCUAAAGUGCACCCGGUAUUUCAUGUUUCCUUACUAAAGAAACAUGUGGGACCGAAGGAAAGGGUGGCAGCUUACAUGCCUCCUCUCACUGAGACUGGGGAACUCAUGGUGGUGCCGUUGAAGAUCCUCGGUCGGCGUAUGGUGAAACGAAAUAACGCCGCCGUGGGCCAGAUGUUGGUUCAAUGGGCCCACUUACCGGAGGAGGAAGCAAUGUGGGAGGACGCAGCAGAAAUGCUGCAGAAAUUCCCUACGUUUUCAACAUGAGGUCAUGUUGUUUCUAAAGGGGAAUGGAUUGUAACGGUAUUAACAGAAUGGGGGGCGAAACGGCGUCGUUUGGGGAGAAAACGUGAGUCACUUAAAGAAACGCGUUAAGGGAAAACGCGGAGAAGGAAGUUGGAGGCCAGCUGAAUUCAGCUAAUCAGAGGACGACACGUGGCAAGGCAGUUAGAACUAAAUUUAGCUGAAUAUUGUUAGUAGUCUAUAAAUAGCAGUUUAGUUAGUGUUAAUGGUUGUCGAUUAAGUAGAGAAAUAUCUUCUCUGUAAUUCACUAUCACUUUAUGAAUAAUAUCAGAAUUGUUGGGGAAGAAGGACUUAGUUCUUAACAAACUCUACCUACCAAAAUGUUUUAUUUUAUUGAAGCCUGUCUUGAAAGAAAAGUUUAUUUUGAUGGUUGACAAAAAUAAUGAACAAGCAGUGAUGGAUAAAAUCUGCACUCAACGAACCUAAUUGGACGCUCGGAAUCUCGAGAAAACUUAUUUGGCGAAGUGGACAACGAUGGCAAUAGUGUGUUGCACAUUGCGGCAAGCCUUCAUGGAGAUCGUCAACCUUGGCGAAUCCAAGAAGCUGCAUUGCAUAUGCAUAUGGAAGUCAAAUGGUACAAGGUAAAUACAUACAUAUAUUCAUGAAAUUUCUUAUAUAGUGAUCAAGAGAAAUUACCCCAUAAAUUUUCUGGUUAAUUUGGUGCAGUUUGUGAAGAAUUCGAUGGCACUUUGUCCGCUACAAUAAAGAAGGCCAGACCACGGGGCAGAUAUUCAAAGCCACCCACCAAAAGCUCAUCGAUGAGGGCCAUUGGUGGCUGACCGAUAACUCGCAGUUGUGCUCUGUGGUGGCAGCCUCAUAGUCACCGUUGCCUUCACCACUUCAGCCAUUGUCCCUGGCGGCGUCAAGUAGGAUAGUGGCACAAAUGAAUUUUAUUCUAGAGAAGACACUAAAUGCUAGUGAUUGUUAUUAUCAUGCAUACUCAAUUCAAAAAAACAAAAUAAUAAUAAUAAUAACAGAAAGAAUUUACCUAAUUCAAAUUUUGGGGUUUUUUCGGAUGUGAGCAGAGCGGCUGUAGUGGCGUACGGCUGGCCAAACUGUCAGUCUGCCACUAACUUGCUUCCUCAGCCACAAACUUCAAUCACCAAAAGAGAUAAUAAAAUUCCAGGAUAAACAGAGUCAAUUUUAUUUGAGCCGGUUUUACUUUUGUAAAACACAAUUUGUAUGGAUAAACAGAGUACUAUUCCUUUACAUAUGAGUUCAUUUAAAAUGGAAUCACCGAAUAUGGAUAAACACAUCGGAUAAAACUACGAAACAGUUAUAGUGGAAGCUGGCCCUCUGAAAAAUGGAACUCUGGGCCAGGAUCAAAUGAAAUCACUACCGAUUUUGAGCACUAAUUUUGCUCUCGUGAUUUAUCUGCUCUCUGUGUCAAUUAUGAAGAUCAGAAAUCACAAUAACUGAUAGGUUGUCUGUGCUGCCUGUUCUAAAUGCGGAGCGAACUAUCCGGUCCGACAAUGAGGACGAAGAUGCCUUGUCGUCUAGAAGAUCGCACACAUUCUGAGAAUUCAAUGUCUCGAAGAUACCAUCCGAAGCUACCACCAGGUACAUGUCUUCAGGGCUAAAAGGUCUCCAACCAGUGACUUCGGGUUCAGCUGUAACACCAUAUCUACACGUACAAAGAAAAAAAAAAAGUAAAAAAACAUCUUGGUUUAAAGAUUAAACCACACCUAAUAAAAGAACAAUUGCUAAAAGAAAAUGCAUCUAUUACCUUUUCAAAAAAACAUCGCCGAUAGCUCUGGACACGGCCAAUACACCGUUGACACGUGGAAUGCUAGAUUUGGUAACGAAUCCUCCAGCUGCUUCGAUUCGGGUUUUUUCAUCCUCUCUAUCCGGGUGGUGAUCUUUUGUCAGUUCCUCAGCAUAAACUUCUCCCAGUGAAGAUCCUACAAAAUAUGCAUUACAGUUAAGAGAGAGAUAUUGACAAGAAUCAACGAGCCAAGGGUUCAUAGAUAUUUGAUACAGGGGAAGGAAAGAUAUUGCACCUUUUUUAGAGCAGAGAAUUGCCUUUGAAUCACCAACAUUGGCAAUCAGAAAUUCGCCGUUAACCAAUAGAACAAUGGUGGCAGUAGACCCCGAAACACAUCGUCUUUCAAAAGCUUCCUGGGGACAGUAACAUAAAAUUGAAACAAGCAAUUAAUAUUACAAGCUAUAAAACAUAAUGGAGGAAAAUAAUUCGCGAAAGAACUAAUCAACAUUACCUUUGAAAACUCUGUAUCGAUGUCUUGAAUUGUUCUCAAUAAUGCUUCCUCUAAAAUUGAUGGAAGCGAACGAUGACCAAUCAAUGGCACGUGAUUCUCUUUGUCGCCCGAAAGUGCUCGCUUGUAUGCGAUAAACACAGAGUGAAUCAAAAAAUAACCUGAAAGUUUUCUCGAAGCCAUCUCACUGGCUUCCUCGCCUCCAUGGCCAUCAAAUAUAGCUGCAAUACCAAUAGUAAUCUCCUCGGGCCCACCUUCACCUGCAUUUCGUCAAGCAAAACUUGAAAUCACAAAUAGAACAACUGAGAAUGAAGAAGGUACUCGAACUAUUGCAUAUCCAGAAGUACAAAUGAAACUUCAAAGCUCCUUCACAAAUUACAUAAAAACAAACUUUUCUAAUCAAGAAUCAAAUUAUGUAUACUACUCAUUCCAUUCCUAUAUCGACUUAGUAACAACAGAAUACCCAACAACUACAUCACAAAAUUUUCAAUAAAUCAAAUACAAGCUCACAGAGGGGAUACCGUCACCUGAAAAUGGUAGUUUCAUAUCAAGAUUGCAUGUAACACGAUCUUCUUGAUACUUUCUAUGUCCCUGAAGGGUGGCGAAUUGGCAAUUCUUCGACAUGUUUUUAGAAGGCUCGGCACAUAAAACCCAUUGAGGACACUCGGGUGAACUAAAUACAGCACGGACCCCACCUUCUUCGUAUGCCACCAUGCAGGACACUGAAACUCCACGAACUGCGUCUGCUAUGCUACAUAACAAAACUCCUACAAAUACUACAAUCACAACCACAACCCUUUUCAUCGUGAAGUUCACCAGCAUUCUGAUCGCCUAAAAAAUAAACAAGACGAAUAUUAGCCAAAAUACUGGUUCAGACAAUUAGACAAACAGAUAGCAUGCAAAAGCAAAAUUCAGUCAGAAUAUCAUACUUCACUAGUUCACUUCUACACAGAAACUCGGAAACCAUAGACAUUAAUUCUACAGAAACUAGAGUAUCUAUGUGUAAUUGGAGGAGAGAUUAAUAUUCACAGUUUCUUAAUACAUGGGUUCAUCAUACAAUGCGUAUAGAGACAAGAUGCUUGAUCCGCCGAUCUUUACAUUAACAACCGCAGUGUGGCGGUGUAAACCGUGCCGGUGGGUCCACUUUUGAUCGCUGAAAUUCUCGGUUCUUCACCUUAAACAGUACCGAUCGCCAUCUCAACCGCUACAAUUUUUGAUUGGUCGUACGGCUCAGCUUGGAAGAAAUUCUUACAGUUGCCAACUCACACUGUUGUUGCUUCCGUCUUCUUUUUUUUUCCUUUUAUUUGUUUAUUUUUUUUUAGUUUUUUUACGAUUUUUUUUUUAUAAUUUAUAAUUUCGUAUAUUCUAUCUCAAAAAAUAAUUUAACUGAAAUAAUCUGAAAGAAACUUAUAAACAGCAAAUAAUAUUUCUAUAUAUAUAUAUAUAUAUAUAUAUAUAUAUAUAUAUAUAGUUUGAGCCAUUUUCCACUAUAUAUUUUACCAUUUUCAGUCAAUUUUACGUUGGAAAUUUUGGUAUUUAUAUUUUUUUCUCCAAAACAUCUAAUUGCUUACAUUUUUUUUUAUUUUCUAAAUAAAACCUUUUAUUUUUGUCAUUUUGAGUUUCUUCGUUUUUUUUCUUAAAUGUCUUCCGGUAGUUCAAACAUCCUAAGAUUACAAACAUCUUUACAAUCCUAUUAUUGUUGAGAAUUUGAACUACCGGAAGACAUUUAAAAAAAAUGAAAAAAUUCAAAAUGCCAAAAAUAAAAGGUUUUAUUCAGAAAAUUAAAAAAAAUCUAAGUAAUUAAAUGUUUUGAAGGAAAAAAUAAAAAAAUAAAAAUUUCCCAAGUAAAAUUGACCGAAAAUGUUAAAAAAUAUAGUGAAAACAGGCUCAAACAAACCCUUAUAUUUAUAGGUUUAGCAGGGGUAUUUUCGUCAGAUUUUGGAAAAAAUAUAAUAACAGGGGGGUUUUUGUAUUUAUGUGUAGUACAGGUGGGUAAAUGAUACAAAGUCCAUUGUACAGGGGUGUUUUUGUAUUUAACCCAUAUAUAUAUAGUUAAAAAAAGUGUCUCAUAUUUAAUUGACCCAAUUAAAAUUAACGGUGAAUUAAACUGCUAAUAAAAAUUAUAUUACAAAAAAUAUGAUAGUAUACAAAAAUUCAGAUGAAAAAAAGAGAACAAAAGUUGGGGUAGGAGAGAGAGACAAUACAAAGGUUGUUUUGUUUGCACAUUAAAUCAGACACACUAUCUCAGGUAUACGGUUUAUUCUAUGCUACACCCGGUGAACUUCACCGGGUAUUUAAGAUUUUGACAUGUGGCAUUUAAUAAUAUAAAUAGUUAAUUAUAUAAAAUUUAAUUGUUAGCGAAAAAAUUAAAUCAAUAAAAUCGCUUUAAUAUAGUUAAUAAGAUUUUCUCUCUCCAAUUAUUUCUUUGUUAUCAAUUACCUCUCCAUUUUUCGAUUCAGGAAAAAAAAAUUUACUCCUCCAUUAACUGUGUUCUACCAUUACUGCACUUCUUCACUAUUUUAAUUUUUAUUAAGUUCUUUCACGAUAAAUUGCACUGGAAAAUAAGAUAUUGGCUCUUAUUUGUGAAAUCUGACUUUGAUAAAUUUCUACUUCCGAGUCAAAUAUUGGUAUGCUUGUAGAUCACUCAAAAAUAAAAAAUGAAAAAUAAAAACAGACAUUAAUUUAUCCAAAAAUGGUUUUCCACUUAUGCUUAUGUUAAUUUAAUUGUAAAGUUUGCAUUAUCAGUAUCAUUUUAAUUUCUUCAUUUGGGUGGGAAGCCACUGUUACAUAAUCUAAACAAAUAAUGGAGAAAUGCAUUAUAAUGGUGGAAGAUGGUUAACGAAUGUGUAAUUGAAGAAUAAGGAAAGAAUUGUAGAGAGAAAAUCAUAAUUGCCUAUAAUAAAGUGAUUCUAUUAAUUUAUUUAUCUUCCUAUAAUUAAAGUUACAUAAUUAACUACUUAAUUAUUAAAUACCACAUGUCAAAAUCUCAAGACAUUCGGUGAAGUUCACCGGGUGUAGCAUAGAAUAGACCCAGGUAUACAUACAACAUACAUACACUGAAAGGCUACAAAGCUAACUUCAUCUUCUUCUCUUUUUUCUUUUCCUGGUUUUUUUUUUUCAUAAUAAUGUACUAGUAGUAGUUUUUCUUGUCAAGGUUCUUGGGAGUUGACACGGCUAUGGAGUUCUAACAUCUCUUGGUGAUUCGGAUCAACCGACAAUGCGGCCCUACAAUCACGUAAUGCUCCGAUAACAUCUCCUAUGUGCUCGUGAAAUGCAGCUCGUAAAUGAAGAAGGUGAAGAUCCGCUUUGAAUGCGAUUGCCUUCGACAGUUCUUCCACCGCUUCUUUCUCUUUGUGGUUAUCCAUCAAAACUACACCGAGAGAGAAACACAUACAAUUAUUAUUAUUAUUUAACGGUAAUAUGAAUUGGAUCGGAAUCCCGAAUGUAAUAUGUAAUCCGAUUUCGUUCCGAAAAAAAAAAUAAAAAAUUCAGAAAAAUAAAAAAUCGGACUUUCAGAAUUCAGAAUGAAAAUCUACUAUUUUUCAAGAACCGACUAGUUUAUAUUUAAUUUAUAUUUUAUACGAUUAUGAAGAAACCUAACCUGCGGCUCGAUAUCUGUAAGGAUAAACCCGAAGUGGGUCCAAUCGAGUCACCAUUUCAAGAUCCGUCUUUGUGAGUUCGCGGUCGCCAUACUCUGACCUCUUUUCAUAAGCCGAGGCGUUAUUUCUAGCUUUCUCAAUAAGCUUAGUCAUCUCAGCAUGAGCUGCACUUUUAUCAUGUCUUAGAAAGUGGACCCGAGCAAGACCUUGGUGGGCCCGCGUGUGCCUGAUUUUGAGGGCGUUGAUAUAGCAAUCAGCUGCAGCAUCCAAGUUACCGCAAUCAACGUACACACUUCCCAGAUUAUUCAGUGCCUAGUCAGAGAAAAUAAUAACACUUCAUUAGACAAGCUGGUAAUAAUAUUAAUAUUAGGUUUAUUGCAUUCAGCACCUUCUAUUAUAAAUAUUAGCAAAACCCCCCACAAUGAUGCAAUUUUUCUUUGGAUGUAUUUUGCUAAAAUAAUUGCAUCAUAGGGUUUCUUUAGCAAUUAGACUAAACUCGAGGGUGUUGAAGGCAAUCAAUAUAUUACAAGACAGAUUAGAACUAUGGUCUACACUAAAAUAAAAUAUUGAUUUGCUAAAAACGGAGAAUAAUAUAUACCAUUAUUAUCGUACCUGGCCUUUGCGGAGUCUAUCGGAAGGGCAUUUUAGAGCUUCUUCGAGAAGAGAUACGACAGUGGAUGAACAAGAUGGAUCUUGACUAGAGUCGGCUAAGGCAUAGGCUUUCAAGAAAAAAGCUUCAAAGGAUCUUUGGAGAUUAAUAGAUUCCUCGGCUUUUCUUAGGCCUUCUUCGCAGUGACCAGUAUCAUAUAAGAUCCAUCCCUCGUAAACUAAUCUUUCGGGUUCACUCGAUGCGUGCUGGCGAGCCAGCUGUAAACUCUUCAUUGCUGCUUCAGGACAAUUGAGUCUGAUCACAAGUCAAAACAAAAUUAGAAUUUUAGAAACCUAAAAUUAAAAAAUGAAUAUUUAUAAGUAUUAUACAUCACGACUUUUCCAAUGUUCGAACAUGUAAGAAACUUGUCCGCCCCACUAAAAUCCAUCCCCGACACCAAUAUACAUGAUCAAAGGUUAUAAAAGGGCUUAGUACUAAAGCCUAAAGGAAAAACAAAAUCGCAAGAUUUUUGAUCUGACUAGUAUUUACUAUUUAAUCAACAAAUAUGACAUUUAUUUGCUUAUAAGAUAAAACAAUUCAAAUUCUCGAAAGAAAAACCAAAUACCUGAGAAGGAGUAAAGACUGUCUGAAAUAAAGAACCCCUUUAGCAGCAUCAGACUCGAGCAUCUGAUAUAUCACAGAUAGUGACCCAAUAUCAUCAACUAAAGACCACCUGUCAUAAAGUUGCAGCCAACAAUCAGCCGUUGUCCAAUUCUCGACAUGCUCUCGUACAAGCACACGAAGCUGCGAAGCCGCAACUCUCCCAUCGAAAAUCCUAUAAUCGGGAGAAAGCGUAAGUAUCGCCUGAACAUCGCAUAUAGCCGAUUGGUAAUCCUCGAUAGCAAGAUAGAAACAAAAACGGAGCUCCAAACACUCCAACGCCAAUUUAAAUCCAAGAACCCUAUUGAUCUCCAAAAGUGCCGAUUCGAAAUCUCGUUUUCUCAUCAAAGAUGCAGCUCUGUACAUGUAGGGGUAGGUCAAUGUGGGGUCCAGUUCAGUCGCUCUUUCGAGCUCGCCCCAUUUUUGGUCUCCAUCACAGUACAACGACCUCUCUUGAAACAUCCAUCCAAGUGGAGUAGUGUGAGAGGAUAUUAUGGAUGUGAUUUUCUCGUAAGAAGAAUCUUUAUUAUUCCCAUUUAUUUGGCUUAAUCUAGCUAAACCGACGACUGAAUAAACAUGGCCUUCGCUCAGAGCAGCCUCGAAGAGUUUCUCCGCUUCGUCGUAUUCUUUUCUGAAAAGACGAAUGCAUCCCAACUGAUGUAGGGACACCAUUUUCUGCCUGGCGGUUACAGCACAGUCGAUCAACUGCUUUGAGAAAAGAACAGAUUUUUCCGAGGUGGGGUCGGAGUUCAUUGAAACUUCGGCCAGUAGAGAAUAAAGAGAGAACGAGGCGGGCCCCACCAUAGUUGACCGUUGUUGAGCAUCGAGACUGGUCAACAGUUCUACUACUUGUUCGUCGUUCAGCGAAUCGGGAAGUUCGUACAGAAACACCUUCAGACAAGAGGCGGCCAAUACAGGGGAAUUUUGCUCGAGGGCGAAUUCUGUUAGUUCGACUGCGUCUUGUCUGGAGGAAACUAAAGAAGCGAGCUUUUUGUCACAAGCAUCCUUAAGGGUCCCACAGCAAAAUAUGUUGGCAAAUACCAAUAUUUCUAAUAAAAGACUCGAGGGCAGUUCACCCAAUCGUCCCGUUUUACUGAAUUCGCUGAUUGCUCUCAUUCCCAAAGGAGAAAUGUUGUUUCCAGACAGGUUGACGUCGUCACUGGAGGAUUCUGUGAAACACCCGUUAAGCAUGGCGUGAAAAGGAGCUGAAAGUCCGGCAAUCUUGCGCCUGUCGCACGUUAUUUUCUCGUCUCCGAUUCGAAAGGAAACAUUACUACGAAGGAAAAAAGUGUCGUUCGUUACGAAGCUUGGAGUUUCGUGUACAGGAAACUCAGAGGCAAUGUCUAUAUAUCCGAAGUCCUUAGUGCAUUUACCACAAGACAAUAGCAAAUCGGAAAUGAUCUCCUCGCCUUGCUUCUCGUACUUCAACCAAGCCCCAAAUACGAGUUUCUCAUAAACGGUGCUCGCCUUAAGCCAAGCCGAACGAAGGCUCCUUCGCAUCAGCUUUGCUUCUCCUAGGCCUUUAAAGACCUGAUACUGCAACAAGUAAAGAUUCGACCACUCUGUCUGGGGGCAUGACUCGAGCUCUUCGUGAAUUUCAGCCAAGACUUGAACAUAGUCAACGGGUUUGUAGAACGGAAGGAUUGGCGGGUCGGGAACCUUGAUGAGAGAUUCUCUACAGACAACGGAACAAGAAUUUGUUCAGUAAUUAAACACAUCACAUAAAUGGAGCUCAAAUUAAUCACAGAGGCAUUAAAACAAACAGAUGGAAGACAUACAUUGAAGAAGGAGAUUCCGGUGGAAGUUUUGUGAGCUUGCCUCUUUCUACUUGGAGCCAUGACUGAGGAUUAAUAGAGUUGAGCAGCGGUUCUUUACAAGAAUCGGAAGGAAAAAAAGUCUUCAUGGGGCAAAAAAGAUUAAAUAGGUCCCAGAUCUCCACAGUAGCAAGAUUGAAUUAUUUCCCUUUGCUUAACAACCACUGUCUUCUGAGCUGAAACGCCGGCUCAAACAAACACUUACAAACUUCAAAUCUUCAGAAAUUUAACAAAGAAAAAAGAAAACUGGAACCCUUGCACUUAAACCGGGGGGGAGAACCUGGGCAGCAUAAAUAGAAGACCAGAAAGCAACUGAAAAUGCCGAAAACCUAGUAAAAUUACACAAGAUCUCUACCAAAAAUGUAACCUAAACCACAUUCGGCCACCAAAUCUCCUAACGAAAAAAAAAAUUACAAAAUAAAAAAAAAAAAUUAACGAAACCCACAAAAUAGGGAGCAGCUAAACCGAAAUCAAGAAGAGAGCCACUAUAAUUGUGGUCUCCAUUUAACAAACCAACGACGGGAAGUGGGCAGCGGCGUGUGGAUCAAAGAGAUUGAUUGGGAAUCCGAAAGAGAAAACUUCAAACAGUAUUUCGCUUUUCUUUGCUAUAUCGUUUUGGUAAAACAAAAGUUUUCACCUUUCCCCUCUCUCUCUUCUCUCUCUCUCCUCUCUCUUCUUUCAUUUCAAUUUUUUGGGUUUUAAAAAUUUUCCAUUUAUUUUAUAUCCGUUGGACAUAAAAAAGGUUGCUGCAAGCUCACUGCUGCAUUUUUUUGGGAGUAGGAAAAAUGAAGGAAAAAAAUAAAAAUAUAAUUGAAAAUAAAAUAAAACUUGGAAUAAUGGAAUUACUGAAAAAGUAAAAAUGUUAUCUUGAAGUGACGGGUUAAAGACGUCUUUUUUAACAUCAUACGACGCCGCUUUGAGGAAAAUAAUCAUAGGAUUUAUAAUAUAGAAACAUAACGACCAAUUGAAUGAAGAAUUAAAAGGAGCGUUAGUUCAAGUCAUACAAUUGAAUUGAUAUCAAUUUUUAGUGCACCAACUUUUUUGUCAUAUCUUCAAAUUUGUUGGAUUUAAAUAAUUAAUAAUUACCCUUAUCAAUGACGAUUUUUUACCAUAAAAAGAAAAGUGGUAUGAAUAUUUGAUUUUAAUUAUUACAAGGCAUGAUGAUGGUUUAGGGUUUAAACUAUUAUAUUUUCAAUUGUACAAAAAGCAAACUAAAAUCUAAGGUGGUAUAAACAACUUUUGAAAGGGAGUGGAUUGAAAGCAACUCGAGCGUACGUAUGUCGUUUUUACCCUUUUUCCUUUAAUUUCAAAUGUGAGGCUUGUUUUCACCUUUUUCAUUUCACUUUGGGAGUGAAAAUUUUGAGAGUGAAAUAAAUGCUAAUCAAUAGUAUAUCAUAAGAGAUUUUGUCUCAUGCCAGCUAAACAAACAAAAAUGAAGAAGUGGAAUUGGUGGGGAUAGAUGUCACAGAAUAUUGAUAUGAUUAAGUGGGUAAUAAGUCAACCUUUAUCAAAUCUUUUUAUUUAUGCAUCACUCAUUAAUCAUUAAGCAAGCGACUAUACACAAUUUAUAUUAUUUACAUUUUUUAAAUGGGAUUUAUUUCUAUAAAGACUAACAAGUCCCUUUCUCCCAUGUGCAAAUGUGUAGUUAUUGCAAGAGAAUGAGGUGGUGACCUACUGCAGUUCAAGUGAUUGCAACUUCCUUCCCUUGUCAUAAAAAAAGACUGUAUUCUAUUUGCUAAAAAUAAAAAGAAAUCUAUAAUAAAUGUUUUUUGUUACAAACAGUUCUCAAUUAAAAAAAAAAAAAAAAAAAAAAAAAAAAAAAAAAAAAAAAGAGGAGAAAGAAGAUACAAGUUACGUUACCUUUGAAUUGCUGUACUUUUAUGGUGCACCUGCUCCAUGAAUGGUCAUUGCUCUCUUAGAGCAAACGAAUAUGUACUGUGCCGAGAUUAAGAUUAUUUCACGAUUGUAUGCUGAUAAAAUCAAACUUAGGAACUAGUAUAUAAAAUGAAGACAAAAAACACACCUAGACUUGUGCAUGCGCCGAUUUGUUAGGAGGUGGUGAAAAAUAAGGAUGCCUCAGUGCAUCAUCAACGCCAAUUCGUUCCUCCUGAUCAAAUUACGUUGGUAAAACGAGCUCAAAAGUAAAGAGUCAUUUUGAGUUCAAAAGAAAUCGCCUGAUGAUUGCUGUUUUCUCAGAGGAAAAAAAAAAACCCGAUAAAAGAUACAACUGUGAAGAGCAAAACUUACCGGAUCCCAGCGUAACAAGUCACGUACUAAACGCAGCGCCCAUAUAUUUGGGAACCUGAGGAAAUGAUACAAAAUUACUAGUGUGAAAGAGCAGUGCUUCAGAGAGAGAGGGACAGAGAGAGGGGUAAAGCUGACCCUAGUUUAAGAGGGUCUCUGCUCUGUAUUUGAUGAGAGAAAUAUUCUUCGGAGCACUUCCACGGAACGGGUGAGCUGGAACUCUGUACACAAGCACAGAGUUUUGACCAAGAACAUGCAAGCAAUCGAAGAUAAUUCGGAAAAAAAAUAUAUAUAUCUCACCUUUGUACUCCAAUUUUGAUGAAGUUUUGAGGAAACUCCAGGAAUCAAGAUGCACAUUUCCAUCAAGGCUCUAAGUCUGGCAAUAAUGACAUAACAAGGAUUGUCACCACGGGCCCAUUGACCAAGUUACAACAAAGGACAGUAAUCAAUUCAAUAUCACUAAUUUAUUUAAAGCAUAACAAAUUGUUACUAGAGAAACAGAGAAUUCUUCUUAACAAAUCAUUCUUCAAAAGUCCCCUCAACUUCUAAUGAAACUAGAUAUUAUGCUUUGCCAAAUCGGAACACAAAAGGUCAAUCUCGUAAUAAGCCAAAAUAGAACAACAAGAAACCUAAAGAAUGUAGAAAUACUAAACGAGAAGAUGUAUUUGAACUUACUUAUAAGCAAGCUCCUUCAAGCUAUCAUUCCAACCCUUGAGGUGCUGAUCUAGAAGAGCUUGAGUUAUAGAAUUAAUCUGAAACACAUUUGGUGAUCCUAAGAUCAACUCCAACAUUACCACACCAACACUCCACAUAUCAUACCUAUCCAAGAAAAUGCAUCGCUUUAAAAGUAUCCGAUUAAUCAUGUGUCGCCAUUUUGCUGAAAAUAGACAUGAAAAAUGCUAUUUGAAAGAAAGAAAUUCAACAUACUUUGUGGUGACACUUGAUGGCCCCCGAUACCAACUCACAUUUAAAAAAGCUUCCGGUGGAGAGUACGCAGAAGUUUGUUCAGCACUAUCAAAUAGAAAUGUAAAUAGAAGUUAAAUAUUGCAACAACAACUAAGAGAACACAUCUGAAGAUGGUUGGUCAUCAGCUUAAAAUAUUAUCAGAUAAAGGAAAAUAAUUAGUCAAUCAGAGCAACCAUAGCUUGCGGUUAUGUCCAUUUAUAAAGCUUGCAGACUUUGCUCAAGGAAAACGUAAUACCUAGAAGGUCCAACAGACCCAUAUAAGUGCUUCACUGUGAAAUCAUUCACAGCACUACCAAAGUCAAUAAUGCGCCUGCAAGUGAUAGGUAAAAGGCAUCAAAACUUAGUCAAAUCAUUAGAAAAUUAAAGUUUCUCAUUUCCAAAUUAAACGGAUGUGAUAUACUAUAAGCUGUCCGAAACACUAGGGAGAAGAAAAAACCAUAAAGAUAACAUAAAUCAUUUGUACAUUUUAGUAGUGUAAUUAUGGGCACCAUUCGGACUUCCUCUCAAGCAGCUACCUGAGUGCUGAUCUUCAAAGCAUAUUACCAUGUUUUCUGGCAAGAAGAAACGUAUAAAAUCCUCAAUUAGAUUUUGAUCGUGUAAAAUAUAGAAAGGAAGUGCAUAAAACCUCAGAUAUCUUUUUACCAGGUUUGAUAUCUCUGUGAGUGAUAUUCCGGUCAUGGCAUGACUUAAGUGCCAUCAGCUAAGCAAAAUGGAAGUACAUAUGUCAGCAAGUUUUUUUUGGUGAGAAGUACUUAAUCCAUUUUAUACUUAUUCACCAAUUACUUUUAUACUUGAUCGUCAAUUCCAAGUCCCCCCACCCACCCUCGCCCCCACUAACUGGCAGUUAUUAUAACCCGUUUGUUUGGAGACAGUGUGAUAGGCAAAAAAUAGAGUAUCAAAGAAUACUCCUGUUAAUUUUUGUGCAUUUAAUCAAAUAAUAUUUAGCAUACCAACUGCCAUAUGAUAUUACGGAAUUCCUCUUGCCCUGCUUCUGUAGUCUUCAACCAGUUCCACCAUUUUGAUGGAUGCAAUAUCUGAACACGCUUCCCAUGGUCAUUUCCUUCUCUUUCAGCAUCAGUCACCACUUCUUCUGCAGUAUACAGAAGUUUUGACAAGGAUAUCCCUUCAUGAUAAAAUACGAGCCAAAUCUCAUUAGCUCGUGACUCAAAAGACUCAACAUAUCUUGCAAUAUGAUUCAAUCCUUCUUCAUAGGCAGCUCCAUGCAGUCCUUUUUCCCUAAAAAUCACAUCCUCGGGAUCCAAGGGUUCCUCAAUUUCUUGUUUAACCGAUUCACUUACAUUUGUGAAGCCAUGUGCAUUGCACUGAGAUAUUUUCCAAACAAAAUCGGUGUCGCCGGAAGUUGAUAAACCUUGUAAGGAAUUUGAGGCAUUCAAAAACAUUUCUCCAAAAUAUUUCUCCCUUAGACCACUCAAGUAAGCACCGAUUCCCCGUUCUACCUGUUCAAAGAAACCAUAGAAUUUACUUAAUCAAGAUUUGAUGAUUAUCAUAACUGUGAGAAUACUGCCGUAGAACCAAAUUUCAAAUAAGUGGGAUAGUUGAUUAUAUUACACCAAACAAGAAGUAAUCAACUAUAGAACUUAGGGAGAUCAACAAUUAGUACACCUUCUGAUGUAUCAAAAUCUGCACAGGUGAUCAUAGUAUUGGGAUGAGACACUUCAGUAAUAGAAGUUAGCCUAUGAUCAAUAGAAACGAUACAGUCUAACAUGUACAAAUACAAUCAAAAGAAAGCAUGUGAAUUGGAUUAUUUACCAUUAUCCGCUUCAGAAUAAACAUAUUGUCAUUAGAGUUGCCAAUGUGGCAAUCUUCAGCGUUUACAUUUGUAGCUAUAUUGUCAUCAUAUGCCCUCCAACGCUCAUUUCUGUAUAGAACAUUUUCAUGUGUCAUUUUGAGAUCUUUCCCAACUUGAGAACAAUUCCAGUUGAAAGCAAGCCAAACUUCUCCAUAUGCUCCACGGUCAAACUUCUUCUUUAAUAUGUACCUAAUAUGAAGGAAUGUAUGUUAUUUAAAAUUUUGAACAACCACUAGCAGUGUGAAACACGAGAUAAUCAGGAAAAAGAGGAUUAUAUCAAAGCACCACUUCACGGAGAAAGCUUUGGCUUUCUAAAAAAACUGACAUACGUAAAUUGUAUCAAUAGGCAUUAUCACUAUGUCCAGACUCUACAAAUAAUUAUAUAGGAUUCACAUAGAAAUAAAUAUAUCACUCAUCUAUAAUGAGUAAAUGAGGAAACAGGAGCAAGCAACAACAAAUUUGAAGCAGAUCGCACCCCAAGAGACUUCAUUGUAAGAAGAUACUAGGUUAAAGGCAUAUGUUGCCGUUUCAUAGUUUUACUCACGUUGAAGAAGGCUUUUGAAGGGAAUAAUUAAUGUCUUUCAUAUUUAAACUACAAAUAUCUCUGUCUUUUAACUCUUGAAUAAAGAGAAGUCGUGGGUGCUUAUUAAAUAGGUGAUUCUAUCAAUAAAUGCAAACCCAGAUAUCAAAGGAGAUUACUCAUUAAACAUCAGCAUCAGAAACAAAUUACUUCCAGACAAUGAAUGUUCCACCAUUGAGAUAAACGAUAAGGCAACAGAUUAAGAAAUUCACUAGGUAAUCUACCUAGUAUCUGAUGUCACAUGUUCAUGAUGAACAGUAUUAUGAAAAGGAACUGACUGAAGCAAACCAAGGAAUCUAGCAAAGCCAUCAGAAUUCAUGCAGUGAUCUUUAUCCUCGUCAAUAUAUAUUCCAAAGUGCACACAGAAAUUUUGAUCAUUGUACACAUCUAAUGGUCCACCUGCAUAAAAAUAAAAAAAUAAAAUAGUUGAGCUACCAAAGGGGAUAAGCUCAUAAUUUGCCCCUUCACAACUUCGUGCAAUUUAAUGUACCAUUUGUUCAAUAUUGCAAUUAUUGGACAAAAUAAUUUGUAGACCAAAUGUGGGAGAUAGUAUUUAACUGGUCAAAGAAAGAUCACAAUUGGAAGAAGAUGGCAAACUUUCCCCAAGUUCAUCACAUGCCAAAAGGUAAAUGCUAAUGUAGAAAAUUAUAGCCAAAGGUUCUGCAUCAUUUUAUCAAGAAAUGGUGCCUGAAAAAAUCCUCGCAUAUCAUUGUUGAGAUCAUUGGAAUUAGUGGAGUUUCAUGAAGAUAAAAAUUCAACUCACCCCAGGGAAAUUGAUAAGCACCAGUUAAAGCAGGUGACAGGUCAGACACGGAUUCGCGGUCAUCCUUAUGGACCCAAAAUGUAUAAUCAUCAUUCACAUCAAGGUUCUCGGACAAAUAAAAGCAUCCAUAGUUGUUGUGCUUUCCUUCAACCUGCAGCAGUAAGACAGAACACCGUGCCCUCUCCAUAUUACAUUAUGGGUUUCAUUAUAAUACAAAGAAACUUAUUUCAUACUUUUUAAAACUGCACCGUACAUAUUCCAAAAAGUAUGUUCUCUAAUAUCCUUGUAAUAAAAGUUCAUUAACUAAAUUAAAGACUGCUACCAACUCGAACAUGCCAUAUGAAAGAAGCACCCUAUUGUAGGUGGUAGCGGAGGUGGAGUAAAAACACAAAGAAAGCCUCGAUGCAUCCAUUGCAUACAAAGAUAGGAAGAGUUUGCCGAUUAUUUUCUACGGCCAUUAUUGGUCCAGAUUACACAAGAUUUUUUGCAAAGACAUGAAGCUCUUUUUAUGGAAACUGUAAGAUCAAAUUUAUUAUAAAAUUGAUAAUGGCUUCUAAUGCAUGUACUCAAAUAGAAGCCGGUAACCAGCCAGAAUCAGAAAGCAGAAAAUAUGAUGGGUAAAGAAAACUAAACUGCUCGUUCUCAAUCUUACCAGUAAUCUAUCAAACAUGGCAACAUCUGGAUGAGGCUGUAGUUCCAUGAGUAAUGAAGUGUUGGCAGCUACAAAAUGAGUACGCCAUAGAUCAGAUUUUAAGUAACUUGGACUCGAGAUAAACAAUAAAUUGAAACAUAAAAAGUACAUAUGCAAACCAGAGUAACAUGAUUAGCCUUAAAAUAUCAGCAUCACCACUAGUUCAAGUAUAAUUAUUAGGACAGUCUAAUGGAGAAAGCAAAAGCAGAUAUGAUAAUUUGGCUAAUUUUUACAGCAGAAUAAGGAAAAGUAUUGCAUUGCCAAAGACCAAUCUUCAUGAUUAGGCUUUAAAAAUUACUUGCCUCCACAAGAUUUCUAAUCCUUACGUUAAGAGUACUGAAUUUACCACAAAACUAAAGAAAGUUCAUAUACUCUCUAAUAUCUAUUUUCCCUUUUGUCAAUGUAACUGAAUGUUCCUAGUUAAUGGCAUAGUCUUACAGACAAUAUCACAAGCUGCUUCAGUAACUCAAGAAAAGAGAACCACCUGAGCUCUCGUAGAUUUGUGUUUGAUCUCCAACUGCCAAGUAAUCAAAUUCCGUUGAAACGUGACUCCUGUCUUUUGGAAAAUUUUCAAAAGAACCUGGUGUUUUAACUGGAAUCACUAUAGCUGCCAAGUUAUCCAUACUUCCUCGCUCAAAUGCAGUAUUAACUAUGCAUUCAGAUAAUGAGUAUGAACAAGAAGAAUUGAGUUCCGGUGUCAUGGUGAAGUGAGAAAGGGGUUCCCACAGUAUAUCACAAACGCCUUGGGGGCUAAGCUUUUCAAAGACACCAUCAGAUGCAGCAAUCACAUAGCUGUCGUUCGCAAUCAAAGGUUGCCAAUCUGUAACCUCAGGUACCGAUAUUACUCCAAAACUGUCAGUAUUUAAAUUUAAACAGAAUAAGAUGUCCAAUUUCCAGAUCUUUUUUAUAAUAAGAAUAAGAAGUGCAGUCUUCAAAAACCAUUCUGUAAAAGUAAUUCAGCCAAAUUAGUAAUCACGUAUAUUUCUCACUGCAAGUUCUCAGCUGGGCAUGAUAUGUAUAAGAACUUAAUAUCUUCUUGACAUAAACAGUCUCACCUUUUAUAAUGUACAUCUCCAAUUGCCCUGGACACAGCCAACUGGCCAUUAAUUCGAGCUACACCAGCCCACUUCGAAAUAUUGCCUCCAGCGGAUUCAACCCGGGAUUUUUCAUCAUCUCUGUCAGGAUGGUGAUCAUUUGUCAGUUCCUUGGCAGUUAGAAACAGCCACCCAUUAGAUGCCAUUGAUUUUAAGUGAUGGUAUUCUUUCAAGGAUGAAGAAACACCAUUUGUUCUUCCCUGUCUGACAACCCUAAAUACAGAUGCUGCAUUUUACAAGACCAAUAAUCAAUUAGACUAUACACUUCAAGUGACACCCAUUGAAAAGUCUCGUGUUUAGUUCUAUGCAUGAUAGCUUAACCAAAUAUGAAAAACCUAUUGUCUGACAAAGAAAGUCUUACUUUAUAGCAGGGCUAAUUUGCUAAAAACAUCAAGAAAAAAUCAAGAUUCUAUAGCUAAUUUGUAUCAAGCAUAAACUAGUAGAGUGAUUCUCUUAAAUUGAGGAUAAGCCAAGAAUGUAACCUUUAGCCUCUGAUGGGGGCUGAUAUACUUCAGAGCACAAAAACGCCUUGGAAUCACCUACAUUAGCAACUAGAAUUUGAGAAUCUGCUAGAAGCACUACUGUUGCUGUAGUGCCAGAACUGAGGUUGUGUCUUGUUGCAUCCUUCAUAAAUGAAAUAGCCACAUAAGCAACGUUGAUAAAUUAGCAUAUUAGAUUAUCAAGUACACAAUAAAGACACCUUUGAAAAAGCUGUAUCAAUAUCAUGGAUUGCCCUUAGUAAUGCUUCCCUCAAUAAUUCAAAGGCGAGUGAUCCAUCUAAGAUAGAUGACAAUGAAACCUUGAACCUACAUAAGAAUUUAGCUUUAUUUCAGAAAUUGCAAGCAAAAGGACAAAAACAGGAUUACUUUAAACCAAAACUUGAAAUGCACCCAUCAAACCGGACAUAUUUCAAGCGUAGAAGGAAAAUGUCCAACUAAAUCAAAACUAAUGUGCCAAUGGCCACAUAUCAGAGAAAAGUCAAGAUAUCUUGUCCAACGAAGAACAAUGAAAUCCUCAAUACAUUCAAGAAUUUAAACCACUAACGCAGUCCAGGAAAACGAAGACAUAGAAAAGGAUCACAUACUACCAUUUUAUAGAAAACCGCAAUUUCCUGGACAUAAUAUCACUGAUGACCUUCAUACAAUUUUGUUUUUCUUGAUUUGCAAGUAAGACAGAGCCAGUUGGUUGUUUAUGAUUUACUAAACCCUCCAAAUUUAGUGAGGUGAAUCCUCCCGAUGUAGCUUGAUUACUUAAGUGAAAAAAAUGUCCACCUAAGUUGUACAGUGAUGAAUAUUUAAUGAAACAAUUCUUAUUUAAAGGCGCCGUAAAGGGAAAGUACCUUCCGAGAUCCAAAAUAUGAUUAUCAAGGUCCUCAUUCCACUCAAUCUUCUGACCGGAACCAUCUUCUCCUUCAAACGGUAGCUGUCUUAUCAAUUUUCUCGCUAAAAUCGAGUAAGUCGAAUCGAGAAGAAAAUAAGUGUGCAAAAUAAAAUACUCCAGCAGCAACUCCGAAGCCAUUUCACUAGCUUCCGAACCAUUAUGCCCAUCAAACACCGCCAUUAGACCAACCUUCACUUCUUUAGCUCCCUUGGGACCUUAAAAUAAACCGAACAAAAAGUUUACGAUCACCAUCUCUUUCCAAAAUGUAACCCUCAACUCAUUAAAAUUAUGUAAUUAACAUUAUAAUUAUACCGGGGAAGGGUAUGCGAAGGUCGAAAACACAGAGAGUGCGAUCUUCCUGCGAAUUCCGGCGGCCUUGGAGAGUCGCCGACUGACACGCCGGGGACGGCGAUCCGAAACGGCGGUUGGUUUGGGCUUUGAAAUUUGAGAGGGUCCAGCGAGGGCAUUUCGGGGAUUGAAACACCGCCGGCGCGCCACCUUCUCUGUACACCGUCAAACACGUCAGCGAUUCUCCGGCUACGGGAGUAUUCACGCAGAGCACAAACCCUAAUAGUAUUACUGAUAGAUCGUAUUUAUCGAACUUCAUCUUCUGAACUCAGAAAUUAUAUACCCAUCGGGAAAAUUGAAAACGAAAGUUGCCAAAUACGACUGGCGCGGAGGAUGUGAAAAGAUUCGGGUAUAUAUACAGCUUGCUUGAAUUUCAGGCAACCCGUGGGAUUUAAUUCGGGCCGGCCUGCAAAUUUAAAGACGCGUGGCCCAAUUAUUGAUUUGGUUAACUUUUCAUAAAUCUUGGCCCAUUUAGAUUAUUAAAUGGGCCGAAUAGAAAAACUAGGCCACUUUCAAGUUUUAUAAAGGCCUUUUUCCCUCUUCAUAAAACGGAGUUUUGUAAUUACUGAUGACUGAUUGCAUCGUUCCCACAGACGGCGCCAAAAUGAUGAUGCUAAAAUAUAGCUCACCUAGGGUGGUGUAGAAGACGAACUGGGAGAGCAAAGCGGAUCAGUAGCUUGACAACUUGAUGAUCCUGAGGUACCUGCGAGAGGAACACACGUGAACUACGCCGGGGGUUGAUCCGGCGGAAACCCCUCCGACGCUCAAGUCAGACGUGCUGAUCAUAGAAUUAGUCCAGAGAAUACGUAUUGUAGUAUUGCUCAGUUAAUAGGACGUACCUUAAUAAAAUGAGUAAAACCUCUAUUUAUAUGUCGUUUAUUGGGUUGGGUUUGCUUUGUUGGGCCCAAGCCUUACUUGAAGGUGUUUGGGCCUCGGUGAUAUUGGUCUUCAAUAUUGGGCUCGUGGCCCAGUAGGUAAAUAACUUGUAGGCCCAUUGGGUUGGCCCAAUUAGGCAUAUCAGUUGUGUAAUUACGAUGUUGAGUGGCAAUUGUGUAAUUAUUCAGUGAGUGGUAAUUAUGUAAUAAUGGAGCAAGCAUGAUAGUUCAAUUAUAUAAUUACUUGAAGUGUAUUCGGUAAAUUUCAUUCCUAAAACCAGCGCUCUUAAGACCAAAGAGUCGGGCAAAAAGGGAAGGGAAAUUAAGCUCGCAAACCGUACAAGAUUCGUACACUAGAAUAAUUAUGUGCGAUGAGUUCAGAAUAAUAUAAAUUGGCAAAAAUGGUUCGAAUUUGAGUCAAAAUUAUAUACGGUUUUCUCAUUCUAAUCACUACGCCACCCUACGAGCAAUAUAAUAUUAAAUCUAGGUCAUUGUGUUUAUAAUAUAAUAUUGGUUUUCACGUUAUACGCCGAUAUAUAUAAGAUUGUUAAUUAUUAAAACUUUAAAGAAUAAAUUUCCGAAAAGAAAAGGUCAUAGAGAUGAGCCAGCAUCACAUGAUUUGUACUUAUUUAAUUAUAAUAUAAUAAUAAAGUACUGCAAGUUGCAUGCAUACGUGGCCCCAAUGCAUUAUGACUGGUAUAUGGUUUCUUGACAACCGUGACAUAAUAUAUUUCAGGUCCAAUAAUUAUUCAUAUUAUUAAAAAUUUGCUUAAAAAUUUAAUACAUUUUUUUGGUAAUUAAUGUAGAUUUAAUUUAUGAAAUUAAUGCAUAAUCUAGUGCUAUUUAUGACUGAUGUCACCCAAUAAUAAACUGGACCCCUCUUCUGAAAAAAAAACAAUAAGAAAAUACAACUGGACCAAAUUAAUCAACCAAUCAUAUCCCUUAACUCUAUCUUUUUUUAUUUUAAUUUUUUUUAUUUAUUUAUUUUUUAGCAAGAAAUCUAAAAGAAAAGACACUAAUACAACAAUUGAGGUGGUGUGGUCAGAAAUCAGAAUCAUUGGCCAAUAUUUCGUUUAUGCCCUUUUGCUCUAGAACUUUCCAUGCCAACCACCCAUUCCAAUUUCAAUAGUUCCAUAACCAAAUCAAGAUAAGACAAACAAAACCAAACAAUACAUAAUAUUAAUAAUAAAAAUAAAAUAAAUAAAAACACUAAUAGAAGGUGCCACCCAAAUGAUUCAUAGAGAGUCUAGAACAUUCCAUGGUUCUUCUAAGUUCUAACCCUAGGAAAAAAAUAUUUAGUAUUAUUACUAAUUUACCUUCUUCUUUGCAGACGCCUCUCUUAACGGCAUAAACUACUUUCCCAAACAAGAAACCUUUGCAAACAAAUUUUCUAUUAAUAAAUAUUAAUUAAAUUUGUCUAAUUUAUGAACUUUUUCAGCAAUGUUUCCAGUUAAAGAAGAGUACCCAGCUGGUGGGUGUUCAUCUUCAAGUUCAUGGCAGCUGCUGUCAUCAAGAGAUCCGCCGCCGCCGCCGCAGCCAAUGGAAGGGCUUCACGAAAUGGGUCCGCCGCCGUUCCUGACGAAGACUUUUGACAUGGUGGACGAUUUGAGUACGGACAGUGUUGUUUCUUGGGGCGGCGGCGGCGGAAGUUUCGUUGUGUGGGAUCCAAACGCCUUCUCCGCCACCCUUCUUCCCAGAUAUUUUAAGCACAACAAUUUCUCCAGCUUUGUCAGACAGCUCAACACUUAUGUAAGUCUAUAUCUAUAUUUAUUUUCUGGGAUUUUAUUGUUUUUUUAAUUACUUUGUUUACUUUCCUCUGCUUUCAAUUUAAUUAGUCAAUGGAGUUCAUAACUGAAGUUCCCAACCUUGUAAUAAAAUUUCUGCCAUUAAUUACAUGUCAUUAAUUAAUUAAUAAAUUGGAUUUGAAGUGUUGGAAUCCUUUACACAAACUUUUGUUCCUCUCUCUCUCUCUCUUUCUUUCUUUCAUAAAGGUUCUCUGUUGAAAAAGAUUCCUCAAGUGACACAAAUUCAACAAAAAGAUGAUGAUUGAUGAUUGAUGAUUGAUGAAAAAGAUUCCUCAAGAUGUGUAGAUUCGAUUCCUAUGAAGAUACUACUGUGUGAAGGUAUACUAAUUAAUCGUAUAUUGAAACGCCGAUUAAAACUCAUCCGAAAAUCGGAAUCCUUUUCGAUUCCCCUCUGUUGCAGGGUUUUAGAAAGGUCGAUCCGGACAAAUGGGAGUUUGCGAACGAGUCUUUCCUCAAAGGACACAAGCAUCUUCUAAGAAUCAUCACCCGACGAAAAUCGACCACCUCGGCUUCGAGUAGUUCUCCUCCGAUUCCUCAAUCGUUCGAUCCGUGCGUCGAGUUGGGAAGAUUCGGAUUGGAAACGGAAACGGACAGUUUGAGGCGCGACAAACAAGUGUUGGUGAUCGAGCUAGUCAAACUCCGUCACCAGCAGCAAACGACUAGAGCUUAUCUUAAAGCGAUGGAGCUGCGUUUGCAAGUGACGGAAAAGAAACAGCAACAAAUGAUGAGUUUCCUUGCUAAAGCAAUGCAGAAUCCCGAUUUUAUCCGUCAGUUGGUACUGCAGAAGGAGAAGAGGAGGGUGGUGGAGGAAGAGGGCGGGGGUGGUUGUAGUAAGAAGAGGGGGAGGAGGGCGAUCGAGGGGAUUAAAUCGGAACCGUUGGAUUACGAGCUGUCGGAAUUGGAGGAGCUCGCACUGGAGAUACAGGGGAGGGGUAAGGCGAAAUGGGAGAGCGGGCCCCACCACGAGGGAAUCGAGACGAGUUACGAAAGGCAUGAUCUUGAUGAAGGGUUUUGGGAGGAGUUGUUGAAUGAAGGGUUUGAUGGAGAUGAAGAAGAUGUGAGUGUGUUGGCUGAUAGAUUGGGGUUUUUGGGUUCCAAAUUGAAGAAUAUUUCUAAGUAGGAUUAAUUGUUUUUGGGUUUUAUUUAAUUAAUGCAAAUGUGACUUAGUUUGGGAGUAUUAAUUAUUUUUUUCCAAAUUAAUUCUCCACGUACGCUUGAUUAUGUUUUUUCUUAUGUUUCUUGAAUUAUUGAGUGUUGAUUAUGUUGUUUAUUAUGUUCUCCUCAAUAUAAAAGGGUGAAUUACAACCAACCCUUGAGGUCUGACUCAAUUACGAAAAAAUUCCUCUAGUUUGGGUAAUUACAAUCACCCCUCAAUUAUAAAUCAUCUUACACGUACACUCUUACGGUGUCAAAUUUAAUAUAUAUUCUAGAUUAUAUGAAAUAUUUUCAAUUAUGUACCCGUUUUAUCCCAUUCGAGAUCCACAUUUUAAAGCAAGAUGAUCAUAAAAUGUGUUUUUUUAGCUUGUAUACUUAAGAUUAUGGUGCAUCAGAAACUGCAUUUUUGCACAAAAUGAGUACAAGCUAGAGAACAUUCCACCGAAUUUAGAAGAUUAUGUUGAUUGUGACAUCAUAAGGAUGGACGUGUAACAAGAUUCAUAGUUGAGGGGUUGGUUGUAAUUAUUCAAACAUGAGGGUUCUUUUUUUAAUUUGACCAUACCUCAAUGCGGGCCCAAGGAAGCAUAAAGAAAAAAAGGUCUUGAUUUAAUGCGGGCCGAAGGAAGCCUGAAGAUCGUUAAAUCGGCCCGACAUCACAUGACCAUAAUUAUGGGCUUGGACUGGGCGAAAAUAAAAGGGUUGGCCCAAAUAUAUUUUAUCUUGAAACACAUUUCUUGUUUAUCCUUGGAAGUAGAAAUUGGAACAAAAACUUUCGAUUUUUCUCUAUUCCAAUCUGAAUAUUUUUCUAAUUUAAAAAAUAUUAUAAAUUCUGAAUUUCAUAAAUUUUCCGACUUUUUUGUAUAGUAAUUAGAAUAUACAGGAAAUAACGGUUUCCUAAUCCGAUUUUAAUUUUCAAAAAUAAUUACUUUUUUUAUAGUAAAAUGCCGUUACGUGUUCUAUAUUAGUAAUACACAUAUACUGUAUUUGUAUCACCAAAGUAAAAUGCCAAUUUUAUUUUUUUAAAACAAGUUAAAAUAAUUGAAUCAUCUUCACUAAUUUAUUUUUGAUAAUUAUCUUCAGUUCUUCACUAAUUGACAUAUACACAUGAACACUGCAUGAGAGAAUCUGGCAAUAGAAGACCCGUGAACUAAACCCUGCCCCACCUAAUUCUUUUGCACUCAUCAAAUAUUCUCUUCUCUCUACUCAUUUGCUUUUUUCAAUUUCUUUCUUUUAUUUUAGUAAAAAAAGAAAAUUAAAUUAAAAGAAUAUCGAUCCUUUCUGAGAUUUGUAAAUACUUGUCAUUUACCGAGAAAUUAAUGGUAGGUGGGGGCUCUAAUUAAAGACGGGCUUUCGAGCUUUUCGUAUAUAUAUAUAUUAAACUCGGAUAGCUAAACAUCAUAUCGCACUGUUCUUACUUCAUCAACUAGAUCACUAAAUUCUUAAUUCUUCCAGUGUUUUAGAUUUUACGUGUAAUUAGCGAGGUGCAUUUGUUUAGUGUCGUAUAAAAAAAAGAUCGAUUGAAGAUAGUGAACCGAUGAAUUAGUAUUCUAUAUAUAAACCAAACCUUAUCUCAUUAAAAGGAACAAAAUUAAAGAUGAACAUGAAAAAUCUUGAAUUAAAGAUAACAUGUACGAAUGAUUCACAUGAUCCUAGAAACAUAGGAUUCUUUGGUGUUUAAUCAAAUCAAAUUAAAGAUUCCAGUAUGAAUAUACAGAUCAUAGAUAAUAUAAUUUAUGCAUGCAUGUCUGAUAUCAAUCAACAAACUGAUUAAAGCAGUAUAUAUUAUCAAUGGAUUAAUAAUUUAUUAAUACUGAUGCAUAUAUGGCUUUGGAUAUAGGUUUGGAAUAUUUAUUAAAAGAUGCAAAUGGAUCUGAACCCUCUGUGGUGGGGUUUUUUCAAAAAGAAAAAAUAAAGACAGAAUAAUUACAACUUUGGGAGUUAUAUGUAUAUAUAUAGAUGCAAAUCUUAGUUAAUUAGUUAUGUAAGUCUUUUGUCUCACAUUGACUAUUAUUAUUCAAUAAUUAUAGCCGUGGGGCUAAAUAAAACUGGGCAUAUAUAUCUAUCUCGAUUAAUUCACCCACAGUAUAAUACAAUUUGUAAAUCAUACGAGAGUUGUAAAAUUGUAAAAUAUAUAUAUAGCAUGGGGUAUUUCAUCAUCACACUUUGGCUUUAAGCUAGCCCUUUAAGCUUUUGGCUUUUACCACCGUAUGUGUGUGUGUGUGUAUAUAUAAAUAUUACAUAUAAGCUGUAUGAGUAUUGGGUUGUGAAAUUGUUGUGUUAACAGUUACAUUGCUCCUUUUAAUACGUCGUCGUUAUAUAUAUAUAUAUAUAUACUGAAUUGAAUUGAAUUGAAGAGACUUUAGAAGGAUUUGGGUGUUUUAUAACAGGACCAAAAGAAAAGACAGAAAGUGCAUGCAGCAGCCUCUCUUUGCAUGUCAGAGCAAUACCUACAUUAAUAAAUUCAUUCAAUAUUGUGAAUAAUUAUCAAAUAAUAAUAAUAAUUAAAAAAACAUUAUUAAUUAACUAAUUAGUAUAAAUGAUGAUGAUGAAUCAUUAGAAACUGAGAGCUAUAGGAUUUUUCCUGAUCUUUACGUAAGUUGCCUUCAUCAUCAUCAUCAUCAUCAUCUCUCUCUCUCUCUCUCUCUCUCUCUCUCUCUCUCUCUCUCUCUCUCUCUCUCUCUCUCUCUCUCUCUCUCUCUCUCUCUCUCUCUCUACCAUGCACCCCCACUCACCCACCCACCAAAACGCGCACACACACAAUUCUUACUUUGCAGAAUUCUUUGCUUUUUCUGGUUUUUCGUGCCAUUAAUUAAUUAUCAAAUAUAUUUUAAUUUUAAUUUUGCCGUAUAUAUAUAUAUAUAUAUAUAUUCAUAAUUAGGUUGGGGUGAGCAGCUAGGUCUUGUUCAUAAGUCUGCCACUAUAUAUAUAUAAUUAAUAAUCAUCACGUUUUUGUACCUAUUGAUAUACAAGCAGCAGCUGGUUUUCUCUUUUAUUAAAAAAACAAAAACAUCCUUCUCUUUUCUCAUAUCUUCCUUCUCUCAACUGCAUGCACAGCUGGUUUUCAGACAGAUAUAUGUCUGAAUUAUAUAUUGUGAUGCAGAUAUAUAUUCUCAUGAGAUAAGCAAUCAAUAUAAUCCAUGGUUAGAUAGAUUCAGACAGUGUUCACUUUCACCAUCAGUACCAUUACCAUUUCAUUAAUAUCGAUCAAUACAUAUAUCUUUCUACUUCCCCUUUCUUCACUAUCAUAAUUCAAGAAUCACCGUCACCUGCAGCUCAGUUGUAUCUAUACAUCUAUUAUCUAUAUCUAUCUACAAGUACGAUUUAGCUAGCUUGGUUUCUAGAGCUGUUAUUUUUCUUACAAAACGUUUUUGUGGUACGGUUCUAGAAUUCAAACAAAGAGUUUAAUUUAAGGAGUGUUGUUUGUUCUUUUCUCAUAUUUGAUUCUUUUUUUCUGCUAUAUAUAAUAUAUAUACGGAAGCAUCAUACGUAUAUCAUCAUGUUUCCGACAAUGAUGAAUAAUAUCUCGGAUUCAUUAACCUCCGACGAAAGCAGCAGCAUCAUAUCUUCGUCUUGCCCAGCUUCUAGGGUUCAACUUCAACACAACUUCGGAACCCUAUCUUCAAUUAUUAUGCUACCACAUCAUAAUUCACUCACCUCUGAACACAAAAUCAUCACCAAGAAGAAAAGAAACCUCCCAGGAAACCCAGGUUCAAUUAUCAAAAAUCUUGAUUAUUCAUAUUAACUAAUUAAUUAAUGAAUUUCCAUUGAAAUAUAUAAUUUGACCUAGCUAGGAUAUAUUUUUUGUUUUAGAUCCUGAUGCGGAAGUGAUAGCGCUAUCUCCGGCAACCCUAAUGGCGACGAACAGAUUCGUGUGCGAGGUGUGCAACAAGGGUUUCCAGAGGGAUCAAAAUCUGCAGCUACACAGGAGAGGGCACAACCUGCCAUGGAAGCUCAAGCAGAGAAGCGGUAAGGAAAUCAAGAAGAGGGCUUACGUAUGCCCGGAGGCCACGUGUCUACACCACCACCCUUCUAGGGCUUUGGGAGAUCUAACAGGGAUCAAGAAACACUACUGCAGGAAACAUGGCGAGAAGAAAUGGAAGUGCGAUAAAUGCUCCAAAGUUUACGCCGUUCAAUCCGAUUGGAAAGCCCACUCUAAAACCUGUGGAACUAGGGAGUACAGAUGUGAUUGUGGUGCCCUUUUCUCCAGGUUAUUUUUAUUUUAUUUUUAUUUAAUUUAUUAGCAUUGGAUUAAUUAAUCAGCCAUGAAUCUUGAUUUAGGUCAAACUUAUUAUCUAUAGUUUAAUUAGGUUUCAGCAUCACAAGUAUCAAGAAAAUACACUUAAUGACUAAAAUGUCAUUUUUUUUUUAAAAUUAUUAUUUAUGUGUCAAAAAAAAAUUGAGAAAAAGUUGGAAUGUAAUAACUGCAUCGUUGGAAUUGAUCUAAAUUGAUGAUAAUAUGAACCAAAAAUAAAAUUAAAAAUAAAAAUGUGUAAGGGAAGGAGUAAUAAUUGUCAAGUGUACUGAAGAGUUGCAAGUACAAAGAAUAUAAUGAUGAAAAAAAUUGAAAUAAGUUGUGCAAGAAAGUUAUGGAAGGUUUGAAUACUUUUUGGCCCUGCUGCAAGAAAAUUUAUCAUGGUGUGGUCGCUGUUUUACUGACAAGAGUAAAAAUUCUCAACUUAUAUAUAUAUAUAUAUAUAUAUAUAUAUAUAUAUAUAUAUAUAUAUAUAUAUAUAAUAUCAUCAUCAUCGUCAAAACUGGUAAUAUUAAUAUCUGCACAAGUCAUUGCCAAUAUCGCUGCACUGUUUUUUCUUUGCCUUGUUUGUAUGUUGCUUCAUAGACUAGAGUAUACAUUAUGUGUAGUUUUGCACAUGCACCCACAUACACACACACACACCUGUGUGUGUGUGUGUGUUUGAGGGGUUACUUUUUACCAAGUUCUGAUCAGUGGUAUAUGUACUGUACUGUGGUCAUAUAUAUUUUGCAUGCAAAAUGUAUACGUAAAUAUUAUUUAUAUAUGGUAAAUAUUUUUUUUUACAGUCAUUUUCUUCAUGAGUACUAAUCAAAAUCUAUUGCGUGUGAAUUCAUUUUUUAUAAUACAGGAAGGAUAGCUUUAUCACACACAGGGCAUUUUGUGAUGCAUUAGCUGAAGAAACUGCUAGAAUCUCUGCUGCCACUAACUCUAUCAUCUUGCCACCAAACCCUAAUAUUAAUAUUAAUAAUAAUACCACCACCCAACAAUACUUCCAUUUCGAACCCCAAAACCUCCACCCUCCGCCACCUCUCCACCAGUUUUCCCACCGCCACAUCAGCAACCAAUGGGGCCCACCGUCACCCCAAAACCGAUUACUAGUCCACAUCAAACAUGAAGACGAAGACACCAACAUUAUUAAUAGUAAUACUAAUACUAAUACUAAUAAUAAUAAUAAUAUGCCCCUUAUUUCUUCACCACUCUACCAAAAUAGGAGCCCCAUGAUGACGUCAGUACCCUUCGGGGACUUCCACGUAACAUCCGGCCUGCCGCCACUUUCGGCCACCGCACUCCUCCAAAAAGCGGCCACAAUGGGCGGCGGCGCCAUGGGUCAGGUGAGCUCCACCAUGGCCCACCUUGACAUGCACGUGGCGGCGGCUUCUUCUCAGUGGCGGAAGAGUAGUACGGGUAAUACUGAUGGGUUCACCAGGGAUUUUCUUGGCCUGACGGCUGGAGAUCAAUGCACCAGCACCACCACCGCCAGCGGCGGUGCAGGGAAUAUGAGGGAGCUGCUGUUACAUACUGCAGCGUACGAUCAUAAUUCUGCGUUGAAGCAUCAGUCUGAUUUAUUUAUGUUUUAAAAGAACAUGUACUUUUUUUGUUAAUUAAUUAAUUGUGCUCUAAUGUUUGAUGUUCUUCGGCACAAAUUUGGAGAGUGUUUUAUUUAUAAUUUGUUGCUGAAACAAUAGACUCCUAAUAGUAAUUUAAUGAGUCUGGUGAAUUCUACUAUUAUUAUUUUUAAUUUUUUUUUUUGAGAAAUAAAUUUAGUGUUUGGAGUAGCUUGUUUUUAUUACAGUGAUCACUGAUUAUUUAGAAAUCAUGUAAAUGUAUAUAGAUAUAUAACUUAGAUCCAAAAUAAAAGAGCCAAGUAACAUUAAAUUAAUUGUAUUAAUCACUUUCAGCAUUUACAUGAUUUGUAAAUAAAGUAGUACUAGUAAAGGUUGUAAGAAAAUUCAACAUUAAAUUAAUUGUAUUAAAUCACAAUCAAGGCUGUAAGAAAAUUCAAUAGAUUUUUUCCAAAAAAAAAAAAAAAAAAAAAAAAAAAAGAGCGGUGAAACUGAAAGCUACUGUAUAGCCUUUUAUAAAGCGUGUUUAGAGGCUGCUGCUGUAAGCGUGAGUUGAAAAAGGAAACUAAGUUGAUGCCCUAUGUGUUUCCGUGCAAUGCUUAGUGGUGGUCCGACAAUUUUGUGGUACCCAUAAAACCAUAAUUAUUAUUAUUAAUUAAAUAAAUAAUCAAAAAAAAAUGUCAACGGCUAACAAAAAGAUGCUGCUUAGUUGAACAAAGAUAAAAGUUUGGGAUUACCAUUCAUUCACAGGGCCAUCUUCUUUUUCUUUUGAGCCCUCUUUUUCUCAAUUUCUGUGCAUAUUUGCAUUUGUCCUACAGUUACUGUUACCUUACCCCCACAUGUAGGUAUAUAAAUUAGACGAGCCGAGCCGAGCCGCUCGAGCUGGAGCUUCAGCUUGAGAAAAUCAGCCAAACUCGGCUCGUUUACACUCCUGUACACACAGGCACGGCAAAAUAAAUGCAGCAUUUAACGUUAAGGCAACACAUACAUGCAACAAGCUCAUGUUAUUGCAAAAAGAACAAAAAACGAAAAACAGAAGGAACCAUGUUCUACCAACAUUGCAAGGAAAAUGCGAAAGGAAUCAUAUUCGGUGCAAGAAUAAAGACACUGUAUGCAUAUAUGUAUGUAUAUAUCUUUAAGAGGUAUAUUCGACCGUCCCACGAUUAAGAAAAAAAAGAGAUGUAUGCACAAGACCACUAGCUUUAAGAGGGUAUAUUCAUCUUCCCAUGAUUAAGAAAAAGGAUGUAAUAAAAAUGCAGUAAACUUACUUUGGUAUAUCCAAUGCUUUUUAGAAAGUAUUAUUGUAUGCAGUAAGUCACAGGUUAAGGUACCAAUACAUACCAUUUUGCCUUGCAGAUAAAAAGAGUAAAAGCCACAUUCUUUCCAUGAUUCUCUCUCUCUCUUCUUUCUCUCUCUCUCUCUCUAAAAGAGUUGCAUAUGUCAUGUUUCAUCAGGGAAUCUCAUCUCCACAGACCAAACACCUUUUGUUCCUUUUUUCUUCUUUCUUCUAAAGCAAAAUUAUUACCAAGCUUCUUUCCUGUGCUUUUUUUUUUAAAAUAUCUUUUUUCCCUCUUCUACUGCAAAUCCCCAGGCAAUACAGUAAAUACUCUUGCGUGUCACCACGGCAAUGAAUAAAUUAUCACAUGACAAGUUCAAAACGCAAUGUCGUAAUCAAUUUUUGGCUCCAACCAUAACAAGAAGAAGGCCUCUGCCUAAUUUCAAGAUUCGAUAAGUGCUUAAACAGUGCAGCAAAUAAAUUAUUUAACUGAUAAAAAAUUAACAUGAUAUUAAUCUUAUAUAAGUUCAGAGUAACACUAGGUGCGUCAAUAGUAAAAACGAAAUGUCGAUAACAUCUUAAAUAAUAGGGGCAUAGUUAGAAGUGGUGUGAGUGACCAGUAGAGUAUAUGAAUGUCAAAAACUUUAUUGUUUUGAAAUGUAAAGGGACAAACAUCACAAAUUCCAAAUUAAAGUGCGGCUGUCCAAAAUCACUCGGUUAAGACAUUAUUGACCUAAUUAUUGAUAAGCUUUGGACUAUCUUUAUCCUUUUACAUCCACAUCACAUGUUAAGCUUGUCUUUGAUUUCAUCAUUAUAGCUUUUAUAAGGUCCACUUAACUUUUAUGUCUACAUCCAAAAUCUUAUUAAUUUGGCAAUAAUUGUUAUAAGGUCACCUGACAAGCACGAGAAAGUUCAUGGUGAAACCUAAAUCAAAAUAUAUUAGCUUUCACUACAUAUGUCCAAAAUAUAUUGAAUUUCAAGUAACAGAAAAUUAGUGAGACUUAAAAAUUAAUAUACAAAAGUCAUAACAGAGGUGGGCACAAAUGACUCACAUGUAUAACUGAAACCAAGAACGAAAAUCCUCCAUUUCAAUUUGAUGUGAUUCACGACCCAGGACUAGAAAUUAGCAACGUUGACAGUAUUUUAUUAGUCGCUCAAUCCUUUUGCACCAACGGUUUUGGCCCAUUAACAUUAAUUCCCAAAUACUGAACCAGCACGUUGUUGAAUGCCUGCCACCAGAAAGAACCGUAUAAGAAAUUUCUCUGUUGCCAUUUGACACAAUACUUUAGCCAUGUAAAUGAAAUUUUAUACUAUGGACAAAAUAAUGAUGCAUCUGAUACAUGAAUCAGCAUAAGCACAGAGGAAAAAGCCGACGAGGGGAAAGGAAAGCAUACAAGAUCAAGGGUAUGAAUGAGACAUUUCAAUUGAUCAGGAAAUAAAUAUGCAUGUCUGAUGUUACAACGGUAGAUAGACAAGGAAAUCUGCUAAAUUGAACAUGAUUAAAAGACAAACUUAAUCCAAAAUGGAAUGGAGGAAUUUUCAGCUUCUAUCGUCAUAAAACAGGAGAUGGACCACUACGGAAUCAUCUUUAUUGAUUUUAGCAUAAAAAGUUUGACGGCUAGCAAUCCACUAGUUCUACCUUAAGUGAACGGAGGAGAAUAUCUUUUACAGCAAUUUGAGACAUAUAUUAUGAUCAUAUGCCAGAGGUGCAUUGCUAAUUCACUCCAUAUAAGAAGAUAGAGAUAUUCACGGGAUGUUGCAUUCAUGACAAUACGAGAGAACAAUAACAUACCUGGCUUGCAAAUGACUCCUUCCCAUUCAAAAGAGCAUCCAUGGCAGCGAACUGGUCAUCAAACACGCUGUAAAAUUUCUGGUAAAAUUGACUCCUGAAAAUAUCAGAAAAAAUUAAUUAAUAAGACCCAAUUAGUACAGUCUUUAUAGAGAACAAAACCACCGUGAAAGAAAAUCAAUAUUCACCCAUCAGCUGCCCCAAUCGUUUGAUCCAUCUGCUCAAAUUUCCUGGUAAGGACUUCUGCACCCACUGGGGAGAGAGCGUGCAAUACAAAAGCCUCUAACGUCCGAGGAAAAUUGUGCUGAAAAUGCAGAGUUUAAUUGAGAAGUUUAAAUCAGGAGACAUCGAAGAAAAAGAGAAUCAUAGAGUAUUAAGAAACAGCAAACAGGACUUAUCAAAAUUGAGCAAGAUAUGCAAUUGUUUUUGCAGAAAAAAAAGUAGGAAAAGGGCACACUUCAAACUACAGAAAACCAUCUCAUAAAUACAGCUAGAGCUGAACAAGCAAACAAAAUUGUUCUGGGCCAAAAAGUAAGGAUAAUAAAUACAGAACAGAAGAAACAAAAGAAACAAAAGAAACAAAAGAGAAAACUCCUAUAAAUUUGUCCGACGUUCCGCCCAACCUUCCAGAAGCGGAAGAAUUUAGUGACUGAGAUAAAAUUAGAUUGCAAUGAUGACUACCCAACUAACAGGAAAAUGAUAUUAAUCUCGGGUUCUAAAGUUGUUAAUUCGCAAAUCAUCAUCAGUCCACAGGGGUCAACAUCACCAGUGCUCAAGAAUCAACCGCUUUCAAAUUUAGAAUAACACCAAAAAAAUGUGUAGUAGUCUCCACCAGAUAGAAGAUAUUGAGUUUAAUUUCAAUCAUAACUCCAUAUCUCUUUUUCGUAAAUACAUUAUCUUUUAACACAACUCCCCCAAGUUCCAAAAGUUUUAUCUAUUCAAAUUUCUUCUUGCAAGUAUAUUUUGUUCAGGCCUAAGUGAUAAAUGCAUCUCCCCUUGGUAUAGAACCAAGUUUUUAACCUUGCUAUGUCCAUAGAGGAAUGUUAGAAAGGAAAGGAAGCCGGGCAUAUAUAGUAAAGUAAAGCACAUCCAGCCAAGUUUAUGUUCUUUUUGUUUCAUAUUGUUUAGUAUAUUUGUAACAGAAGAGGCAAUGAGAAUUUCAUAAAGGAGCAGGAACUCACUGCCAUGGUCAGAAAGACACUUUGAAAAGCACGUGGUUCAAGGCUCCAAACAACAUUAGCUAUCGGAUCUUCUUCUAAGUUGAAGAAUUUUGUUUUAACAAUUUUCUCGAUUUUGCCCUCCUCUCCACUUACAGAACAUUCUGUUUGGAUGUCGCCUACUGGUUGAAUCUGGUCAAUUUGGUGAUGGACUAAUGAAACAAGUUCAUUAAGACAUCUAAGUGCUUCAGGUUGCAGGUCAUUCAAUGAAAAACCUUGCUCCAGCUUUUCUUUCAUACUGAGUGUGUGAUGGUUCAGAUCCAGAUCUUUGUCAAAAUAACCUGGUACCCUCACAUUGUGUUCGCAAAACAAAUAACCAUAUGAGUGAAUACAACAAACACUUUUCAUCAAGUGUAACAAAAUAUGCAAAGAAGAUAUCAAAAUGAAAGGACUAAGAAGAUUCAGUAAUAACCUGCAUUUCCAUUACUAGACUGGCCACUUGCAUUAGCCACUUCUUUAUCAACAGCGGUCGAAGGCGUACAAAGCAUUCGAUUCUGUCCUGAUCACAUGACAAGCUAAGGGGCCUAAUGGUAAACUAAACCUUCUUAUUGCACCAGUACGGUCGUAAGGAUUAACAUUUUAAUCAAAAUAAAGUUAAGCUCUAGUGAACAGGUUAAAAGAAAUACAACAUAAAUAUUAUGGUCCCAACUAGUUGGUAAUAUUCAAGGGCGUAAUGUGCUUACCAUUUCCCUGUCAGUCAACCUAGGAAUUUUGAUGGAAUGAAAAAUGAAAAAGAAAAAGGGAGAACAAGUUAGAUUGUUCCAGUAUUAACUAAAGAACAAAAAAUAACAUACGAACUUAACGUACCUUUUCAUUAUUCUACGUAGAUAGUAUGCAUCCAUGUGUUCUAACAUGCUAGACAUCAUGUCCGACUGCCACCAGAAAUUGACAGCUAUAGUUAUGUCUCCACUGUCCACUUGGUGGAACCUGGAAUAGCAGGUAAAGGAUAUCUUUGAACAUACAGUACAAACAAUUAGUCAUUCAAGGCAAUGAUUGUCAGAUAACUAAUUAAGUCAACAAGUACAUGUGUUUCUUGUAUGUUACACGAUCUAGAGUAACUCCGCUUCAAGCACUUAACUGGAACUAGUUUAGUAGUUUAUGUUACUGCUAACGAAUUAUUAUUUUCCCUGUAAAUUCAGCUUCCAAAAUGAUCAGUUUCCUUUACCAUUGGAGUCUUUCAGAAAUGACUACUUCCAGAAGAAGAUAGAAAAAUAAAACAGAAUAAACAUAAACAGAAUGGUAAAUCGGACAGGAAAUAAUGUGAUUGGUACAUGACGAAGGCCACUACUAAAUUUCUCAUUUUCCACCCAACAUAAAACCAACCCUACAUAGAAGCAUAUUCUUUCUCACUUAAAUUUUCUCAAUAAUCUUGUUAAUUUCAAUACACUUAUUAACCUCUUUCUAGAAUUUAAUCCAAUUAUGAACAUAGAACCGAGCAUCCAUCUCCAUGUGAACCCCACAAUAUCAUUGUUACUAUGACCUUGAUGUGCCCCUAUGCUAAUGAGCUCAAGUUUUAAGAAGAAGAACGUUCUUCAGGGAAGAGAUAAAAGAUGAAAUAAUAAAUAACAAAAAAAUUAGUAACAUCCAGAAAACAGUACUAAUGUUACCAUCCUUCAGGAAUGAAAAGAGCAUCCCCUGCGUAAAGAGUAACCUUCUGGGAGUACUCCUCCAUCGAUUUUGCCCUCGGAUAGAGACUAAAAUUAAUGUUUCCUAAAGGAAUGGCACUGCCAAAAAGAAAAAUGUUUACGACAUUAAAAAGCAACUAAAAUUGAUGAAUAUACAACAGAAGUAAGGUGUGAAGCAUGCCAGUCCGCUCCAAACAGAGAUGCAGGUUACUUAAAUAAAACUGAAUACCUGUGGUUCGAGGCUUCCCCAUACAAUGGCAAUGGAUAUAAGGAGGAGCAUGCAGAAGGAGGCCAUAAAACAACUGAUAACCAAAUGGUUUUCGUCCCAACAGGUUCCAUGCAGAUACAUAAGUAUAAGAGGGUCAGAAGAAAAAUCUUUAGGUAAAUGUUAUACUAAAGAAAGCUGAAGGGAAGCAUAUAACAACCUUCGUAUAAGAUAAGGAAGACAUGAUAUAAUUGUUUAGUCCUUUUACCCCAAGCAAAGUGACGUAUAUAAAUAUUUUUUUAUGAUAUGCAAAUCAUAAUUAUAUAAACAUUAGAUUUACAAUCCAUGCGCCCCAGCAUACAACCUUCACUGAGUGAGCAUUCAACCUAGUUUUCAUACCAACUCCAUUCAAAACUAAAAUAAUAUUAUCCAAAGAAACUCAAAAAUGCCAAAAUGCUGAAUAUUUUCCACCACCACUACCACUUUCUCCAAAGCACAUAUUGAUACUGGAAUUUAUCAUAAAAUAGUAAUAAAUAUCUAACAACGUAAAUGCUAGGUUCCAUACCUUGUUUGUGUCCUGAAAUUAUGCAUAAAAGAUUGUGGUGCGGAUCGUAGUGAGUACUGGAUCUAGUCCUAGAACUAUUCAUCCAUAAAUUGAUGGAAGCCAGUACUUUCCCCUCCAGAAAUCCAGGCUGUUUGGUUUAAACAAAUGUAUUAAAGAUCCAAUUUAAAAGGUUAAACGUGUUAUGCAUGCAGGUCAGCACUGGUUGAAGAAUAAAUGAGCAGGAAAAUUCAGAAUUAUGACAUGUAUACCGUUUCAAUAUCUUCUCUUAGGCAUUCCAACUGAGCCAUUUCGUCAUUCUCAGCAUUCACAAUGGGUACCUGAAUUAAGUAAUAGUUAGAACAGCUAAAAACCAACAUAGUUAUCAAGGCUAUAGAUGAUCCAAGAAAGAAUAUCAGUUUAAAGGUUCAGGGAUAGGUCUGUCAAAUUGAUAAUCAAGAAAAUAAAUGCAUAAAUUACGGUAACAUAAGAAAAGAGUUAAUAAGAUAAUAACCCAAGCUUAAGAAAAUAACUUAACAGAAGCAAGCUUAUCAUUGAAACUGAACAUUGCUUUAUGAACCUACACAGAUUGUUAUCAAUAUUAGCAAUGCUUAGGGUGGACUCCAGCCCACUCCCAAAAGAAAAUAAAAUAGGUUGUAUUAUUUUAUGUGUUAGCCCACCCAAUCCAUCUCAUCAAACCCACUUAACAAUAUACACAUUUAAAAUCCAACAAAAAAUAUCAUUUUCAAGAAACUGUAAUUCAUUUGGUACAUACUACAUUUUCAUUUAUGUUGUAUGCAUAAAAAAUACACACAUAACAAUGAAACGAGCAACCUAGACUGACGCUUCCCAUUUGUCUUCUUCAAUUGACCAACCACAGAAAGUCAAACUCUCAUUUUGUUCACUUAAUUAAUUCUAGAUUCUCAAAUGGCAUGGCUCUCUAAUUGCUGGGAGUUUGUGUGUGCAUAUAUGUUGCGGUUUCCAGGAUUGGGGUUUUUAUAGAGUGGGAGGAUGGCCCCUCUGCAUCAGUCCACUGUCUCUGCAUUAAGGUUAGGCAAUCAAGUUUCAAACCAGAGGAUUAAAAACCCAACUGGUCAAUGACUUACAACCUGCGCUAGAUAUAUUUGCUUCCGAGACUCUUCGCCUACUAAGUGAUCACCAUGUUCAGUGAUAAGUCCCUCCGGCUUAUGCUUCCUCAGUUGAGAAAUCGAGUCUUUGCCAUCAUCUCCAUAUUGUAAAAUAUCCUUGCAGUAUCCAAGAAAGGUGGAGAAUGGCAGUGGAACCUAUCAAAGCAGAACAACUUUCAUCAACAACAAUUACUGAUUUCUAGGUUCGUAUAUUUCCCAAAAGUAGAGAAGAAGAAAACUCACCCUUUCAUGACUUCUAAUAUCACCGUAAAACACAGGUGCCGAUUUGGAUAGCAUAGCCCCCACCACCGAAGAGCCCACCAUAUCCUAUUUGUCAUGGAAAAAAGAAUGUAACGGACACCUCAGAAGAAUUAAUCAUGUCCAGGAUAUUUAAAAGUCAAUAUUAACUUAAUACAACUAAACAUUUCCCAAUCUUACAUGUAAAUGUUCACUUGUUUAAUUGGAAUUUGAAAUAGCAGACAUGUUCAAACUGUGUAGUCGUGCCACAUACUUGAAAGUUUAACAGUAUUUGAGGCAAACCCUAUCCCAUUCGUGAAAGAGCUAAAUUUCUAAGACACAUUACCAUGGUGUGUUAAUUCAUCACAUAUUUGAGUCACAGAUUCUUCAAAAACAGUAUAGCAGAAGAAGCAACUUACCAUCAAGUAAUCGAGGCCGCCGUUCAGAACAUUCCAUUUGGAAAACGCUUUCCAUUCCUUUACGCAUCCAGUGAACACCUUUCGAAUUUGGGGGAAAAAUCAGAGACAUGGUUAGUAAAAAAGCACAAAGAAAAACUAAAAAAAACACAGGCACGUGUGUAUGUUCGUUGUCGUGCAGAUGUGCGAACAUCGGACUGAAUAUGAAUGUGAUCAAGUAAUUAUUACAGCGGGGGCGUUUUUCGAUUCAAUCUGAGUAGCGAAUUCUUCCGGCGACGGAAUUUUACUGAACCGGUGAAUUUGAAGAGACGACGACGACAUUACUACUGAAAAUUGGUUUGUAAUGUAAAACGCACUCAAGUGGGAACGCUUUUCUAUUUUACAUUAUGAAAUCAUGAUCAAACGCAAUUUAAAUUAGGGCAAAUUAAUGGGGGUUAUUUUCGUAAUUUGGUCAAUUUAUAGAUAAUCAAAUAUUAACUAUAGUUUAACACAAUGGGCCGCUCGGACUUUCGGCCCGUUAGUCUUAAAUAGAAAAAAGAAAUGCACUAUCAAAUAUUAUAAUCUGUAGAUGAUUUGGGCCGUUUCUAUGAUAUGAGAUAAUAAUCGGGUAGGAAAUCGGAAUGGAAUUUCCGAAUUUCGCGUUGAUUUGUAGAUAUUCGAAUUUGGAACCGUAUUUUUUUUUCGAUUUUCGAAGUUCAGAUUUUCAAAAAUUCCCAAUUUGUUUAUAACAAAUCGGAAUUGUGAUAUAAAAUUAAUGGAAAUUCUGAUAUUCGAUCCGCUUUUAGUUCCGAAUAUUUCGGUUGUUUUUUGAAAUAUAUAAUAUAAUUUAUGGUAUAUUUUGUAAUUUCAUAAUAUAACUUAUAUUGUAUUUUUUAUGAAAAAAUAUAAAAUAACGAAAUGGUCAAGUAAAUUAUAACCUUAGAAAAUAUUAAUGAGUACCAUAAACUAUUUGUUGCAUGCAUUUUUGCAUUUCAAUUUUAUUUAAUUGUUUUACGAAAAAUUGGAAUCCAUUUUUAUUUAUGAAAAAAACCGGAAAAAUUUCGAAAAAAAACCAUAUAUGGGAUAAAGUAUACUGAGUUAUGAAUGAAUAUUUAAGUAAAUAAGUUAAAUAUAAAAAAUAAAUAAAAAAGAAUAUAUAAUGAAAUAAUUAGGUGAAGAAAAUGUCUCGAUGGGGGCCCAACAAAUUAGUCCAUAAUACACUGCGUAGUUCGCGCCAUCCCGUGUUUGAAGUUUUAAUUAAUCCAAAGCGCGUGGGCCCAGUCUCUGCUUUCCAAUUGUAGCAGUUUUACAAUAAUAAUAAAGCCCAAUUUUCUAUAAUAUUUAGUGAGAGGACAAAAAAAAUAACAAAAAAUAAAUAAAAUUAUAUUACGUCAUAAUUUUUUUGUAAUUAAAUGAGUACCAAUUUUUUAAACAAAAAUUGAAUUAAACUUGGUAACCAUAGAACAAGACUUGAUCAUGUAUAUACAUUAGUGGAAAAUAUAAUUGGACCAUGUCACACGUUAGUUGUUUGAGUCAACAAUUAUGGCAUGUAUGUAUUUUCAAUAUACAUAAAAGGCAUAACACACCAAUAUAAAAAUUUGCAAGUGUUAUUGCUUAGUUAUGUUUCAGAACUUGUAGAUAAAAAUAAAAAAUAAAAAUUUUAAAAAUAUUCACAUGUUCAUAACUCGAUCAAAUAGGCCCACAUAAGACUAAUAGUUAAUUAAUCAAAAUACGGUUAGUAGGCUAAGGCCCACAAGAUAAAUUUGAUCAAUAAUUAAUUUUCGGCCCAUGUCAGAAGACGUAUAACUUAUCAGCUCUUAAAAUAGUUUAUUAAACAUAAAUGCUUAUCAGCUGUUUUAUGUAUUAAUAUUUAAUAAGCUAAUAAAGUACCAUAAUAUGAGCAAAUUUUCAUAUAGCUUUUCGGAAGCUUGUGAUUGUGCAACAAAAAAAUUGAAAAGGACUUGAAAAUAUCAUUUGUUUUGCUUGGCCAAAAUGGCCUCAUUUCAUUGACAAUCUUGUAUUAUUUUUUGGUUAAAUUAAGACUAAGUCUCACCUAAUCUUUUUUUAUAUCAAUUGUCAACGAAUUAAUUAAAAUAAAUAAUAUAAAUAAAAUUUGUGGGUGUUUAAAAUUGACCCGAUCCACCACUUAAACACCAUGUUUAAUUUAGUUAUUAUUUCUUGCCAACAUCAUUAAGAGGGAAGCUUCUUGCAAGGUUAGCAAUAUUGAUCAUGUUUCUACAUAUGGACUUUGGUUGACUUUUCAAGCUACUUAACUUUUACUUCUUCUACCUUUUCAUUUUUCUUUUUUAAUUUUAUUUUUAAUACAAAUAUUAUCGUUCAAUUAAAAUAUUUAUUGUCAUUUAUUGCUUUUGAAUAUGGAAACUUACUGAAAUAAAUUGAGAUUGGUGAAUGAGAAAAGUGUGCCCAAAAUAAAUGUUUUUUAUUUAAUUUAAUUAGAUAAAAUUAACAAAUUUCGAUUAAUAGAUAAAAAUAUAUAGUGUUUAGUAAUUAUACACUUUUGACAAGGUCAAAUUCAAACUUCGUUAUCUAUGGAGGAAUAAAAACAAAGCUUAAUCCGAAUGGAUCAAACCAAGAAACCUCCUUAAUUAAAGUACUAACAAACAAAACCAGACAAAUAAUCUCAAUUUAUUAACAACUAAUUAACCACUAAUCAAUAUUAAAAUAAAAAUUGAAAAAAUCAAAACGAGAAAAAGAAAAAAAAAGAAAAAGAGAAAGAAGGGAAAAGCAAAAGCGACAGGCAUUCACGUUGUGCCUAUCGAUCACCGAGCGCCACGUGGACGAUCAACGGACGUGGAUCCCACGCCGACGUGGCAUAUCGCGAGUUUAACUGUUAAUUGGAACAAGGGUUUAAGGAAAUUAAAAAAAAAAAGACGGAGAAACGGGAAAAAGACCGUAUCGUAAGUAUACACACUGUUGUGUGUGUAUCUGUGUUAUAUACUUCUAGAGAGAGAAAGAGAGAGAGAUGUUAUAGAUAUAGAGCGAGAAACAAGGCGCGGAGAAGCCGUCCGAAAACAAGAGAUAGAAAAAAAGCUUUGUAUUUUCUUCUUCUCCUCUCUGCUCAAAGCCUUUUCUUCCUAGUCCCAAUUUCUAGGGCACAAUCCAAAGAUCGAAAGACCUCAUCGAUAAUCUAGAAAGGGAAUUAUUGUAUUUGUUUGACUGGCAUUUUUGAUUCCCUCCCCUUAACAGAAAUUGAUUCGUAAUAUACAUAUAUUUAUAUUUAUU